UUAAAUGCUGGAGGUCUAAAUAUAUUGAAUAUAACCAUCUGGAACAAAGCAGCAAUUACAAAGCUACUUUGGGACCUUGCUAGGAAGAAGGACUGCCUAUGGGUACGCUGGGUUCACUGCUAUUACAUCAAAAGAGCUGAUAUUGGCUCAGUCAAUGUACCCAAGCAAGCAGCAUGGGUCAUCAGGAAGAUCAUACACUGCAGAGAGGAACUUAUGGCAAACCAGCAGCUACAGGGCACCCUUGAAGACAAAUUCAAGACUUUGUGCUGCCUUGACAAACUUCAAGUCCAGAAACUCUAUAUCAGCAUGCUCCUUAGAUUUGAUAGAGUUGACUGGAGGAAUUUACUUCUGGUUCAAAAUGUCCUGCCUCGACAUAGAUUCCCUGCUUGGCUGGCUUUUCAAAGAAGGUUACCUACUGUGGACAGACUAGAAAAUUUUGGUAUUCAACUCCCUUCAUUGUGUGUGUUUUGCAAACAACAGGUGGAAACUUUCCAGCACCUCUAUUUUGAAUGUUCCGUUACCAAGAGUUUAUGGUCCAGAAUUAGUUGCUGGUUGGGCUAUUCAAGACAAGUUCUUGACUGGGACAGAGAACUACUAUGGAUCUGUAGUAAAGCUCGCAGUCGUGCAUGGAGGAAUGCCAUCACUGUUGCUGCUUUUGUGCAUGCCGUAGCAUUAAUAUGGCAGGCCAGGAACAAAGCUCGAUUUCAGAACUCGGUUUAUAAUGAAGAUAGAACCACUAGAGAGAUUGCAUUACUCCUUCACAUUCGUGGGAGACAUUGCAAAAGCUGGCAGAUUGGUCUACGACAACUCAACUACUUUCCGUAACUAUUUUUGUGUUGUUACUUGUGGAACUCAAUACAUAUGUGCUUGCGCUUCUUUUGGUAGUUUCGUAGAAAUUGAAAUGUAAAUAGCAUCAGUAGCUGACUGUCCAAUCGGCUACUCGUAGGAACACUUGUACAUUUUUUAUUUGCUAUAUAUGAAUACCAAGCUUUAACUAAAAAAAAUAAAAAUAAAAAGAAGGAAACUCUGCUCGAAAAGAGUAGUACUUAUAUUUUUGUAUCAACUUGUUUGCAAAGAAGGCCAUUUGUACGUUGGUUAAAGAUCACGAACCUUUUGGCAGGAACGCCGUCUAACUAAAUUGUAUAUUUCGUAUUGAAUACAGAAUAUUAGGAAAACUUACUGAAAAAAAAAACAAGAAUAAAAGGAAAAGAUGGUUAAUAAGUAGCCUGGUCAAGGUUGAUGGAUGGACAUGAAAACAAAGUAUAUACACCUGCUAUUUAUUCACUUAACUAGUUCUUGAUGCUAGCAAGUAGUGGCAGAUAAACACUAGUGUAGAUAUCUACCUACGCAGCUGGACAACAGAAAACAAAGAACAAUCAGUCAGCGACACAAAUCAGAAAUAAAAUUCAGAAAAUUGAUGUACUUAAAUAGUUACAGAUACAACAACAAGCUCAAACUCAUUGGUCGCGCGUGCAAAUGACAGUAAAGAUAAAGUACAAGUGUAUGAAGGAAUGAUUCAGAAGGUUUCAAGCUAUCCUCCCAUUCCAAUAACAUAUGUCGACGAAGAUGUCAAUGAGUGUGUGGAAUUUUCAAGUCUCAAUGCUAAGAACAAACAAGUAGCUCUUGCUAACAUGAGAGAUUUGGUAAUUAAAUCGAAACUCUGGGACCAAUGCCAAUUUGAUGAUGUCGAGAGCUGGGACGAAGAUUCAGAUGGUAACUCAUCUGUAAAAGAAGGCCAAGAAGAUGAUUACAAUUCUUCAGGAGAAGACAAUGCGAGAAGAUGAUUACAAUUGUUCAGGAGAAGACAAUGAGGAGCAAAAUGAGCCUAAAUUGGAAAGGAAAGCUGCAAAUUUAAAUUGGAAUGAAAAAAUGAAAGCUGUUGCAAGUAAAUUGAACCACAACGCUCCAGAUUACAUUCCAAAAAAUAAUUCAACAGUAGGUAUUUCAAAGGUAAUAACAGGAAAGAUCGACCAAAAAGAAACAACACAAAUUGUAACUAAAUUUUCGGGUGAAACAUCAUAUGGAGGAAGCAAAACAGUUCAGCCAUCAUCUAGACAAAAUCAGAUUAGAGUCUUCCACAAUAGUCAACCUCCAAUGAAUUGCCCUGAUGAGGAUAGAAAAUUAGUAGAAUUUUCACAAGUAGACGAGCAAGUAUACUCUGCACUAAUAAUCUCCUCGGAGCAAAUCCAGAAUGAAAUUGAAGGAAGACACAUAUAUGAAGAAGGGGAGGAAGAGGAUACCUUAAUGCAAUGCCGGAAACAUGCUGCAAGAAUAGGAGAUUUGUCACCAACGCAUAGUAAAACAAAUAAAAAAUGUCAUUAAAGGGAUAGAAGCUGGGAUGGCAGGAUGGUUGAAGAUGCAAACAAAAGGAAGCUCCCAAAGAGAGUUGCAAAACAAAAACAGGUCACCCAAACUACUUUUACAAAGUCCAGUAGAACAAAAAACAAAGCAUGAAUAGUGAAGGCCUUUUUAGAAAAUUUGUGCCAAACUACUUUUACAAAGUCCAGUAGAACAAAAAACAAAGCAUGAAUAGUGAAGGCCUUUUAAAAAAAUUUGUGGAUGAAAUCAAUAUAGUCCAUAUUGAUUACAUCACAAAGUUGGAAAAAGGAAAAUUCCUUAGUCGUUUGAUCAUAAUUUUAUUUUCCCAUCGUAAUAUCCCCAUAUGUAAUAUCAUUACAGUGUAUGUUAUAAACAUUGUGAUGAUCAUGGCUUAUUUGGCACAAGCAAGUUAUUAUGUUGUAAUUUUCAAUUUCAUUUUCUUAAUAAAAAAAAUAACCCUAGGCUCUGCCUAGUGGAUUGCCUAAAAAAAAAACCUAUUAGUUAUGCGUUUUUUCUUGAUCAUUAGUUGUACAUACUCUUGGCACGCGUUGGGCUCACUGCUCCGAAGAAAGAAUUGAAACCAAUGGAACAUAUUCAGUAGCGACAAUGCCCCCUUCAUUAUGAUAUUUCUAAACAAAUUCUUGGAUUACAAAUCUAAAGGAUUUCGUCUGGUUGACAUUGUAAUUGACAUUAAAUUUGAUUAUACUAUCAAUCUUGAUGCUAGUAAGUAAUGACAGCAUCAAUCCUGACUUUAGUACGAAACUGGAACUAUUAACUAGGACAAACGGACUAUGAUAUGAUGACAGAAAUAAGUAUUUUCUCCCAUACCUUGCAAAUCAAACAGGGUAAAGGGUUGUUCUGCAAACUGAAACACAAAUUCAUUGAAAAAUUACAGAAAUUUCCAAAGUUAAACUGUCUAAAGAUACAGGACAACCGUUCUAUAAAUCUGAGUCUAAUGGAGGUCUUUUGCACAGCAAACUUCUGCCUGACAUCGUACAUCUUCUGCAUAAAUGGCUGAUCAAUACCCUGGAAAAAAAAUUCAAAAAAUCAAGAAAUAGAUUUACUUCUGCCCAUCAUAUAAAAUGAAGCUUCCAAAGAAUGCUAUGGCAAUGAAGGCAGAAUUUCAAAUCAGUUGAAUACCCUUCUAUCAGAUACACAGUAAGGGAAGAAGAUCAUUUCUUCCUUUUCUUUUUCUUUUUUUGGUUUUUUUUUGAGAUGCCAUUCAAACAUAAGCUAACUGAACAAACAAGCAAAUAUUAACCAAUCCUACUUUCUUAGUCACUUUGACACAUCGUUCUCACUCUCACCCUCAUCCAUGUGUCCGUUUACUCUCUUUUUUUCAUUUCUUCUGUUCUUCUUGCAUCCUCUUCCCCUUCUUUCUCUAAGGAUUACGUUUAUAUAUUUAUUCUUUUCAUUUUUCACACCUCUUCUUUUCCGCGUCAUCACUGAUCUAGCAGCAAGCAUUUUCCGAGGUGCUAACUUGCACAAAUUGUCUACAUGAGUUUUUGAGUACCCUGAGAAACAGUACUGUGUAUUUGUUAUUUCCGCAGCAUGGAUGACAUGAAGGUCUUUGUCAGAUGAAUGAAGGAGAAGAAUAGCAUGCAAGAGCAACAGGGGGGUUUGUUUAACAGUAGUUCGAAAAAUAGAAACACGUCACUGGGAACUUUUAGCAGGAUUAUAUAUAUCCACCUAGAUUACAUCAUACCUUCCUUCCUCUUAUGAGUGGAUUUGAGUAGCAAAGCUGAGCGUAUGGCACUCAAGGUUUCUUAUAUUCAACUGCAGUAACAGAAAAGAUAAGCUUGUACAUACAUAUUCAAUAAAAUAAAAUAAAAAUGAAAACAAAAAUUAAGCUUGGAUUAUUGUACAAAGAAAUGUCAGUAAGAAAAAAUCUUGUGACCGCACCUAGCACGAUCAUUCGGGAAAAGAAAGGAAAAAAAAAAGAACUCUUAUGAUCAUGUUUUAGUCGGAGUGUCUUCACAGUGACAAUGCCAAGCAUUAUAUAGAAAGAGACAAAAUGAAGACAAUCUCAAAAGUGAUCCACAUCAAACUUUUGCUUAUUUUAAUUUACACCACAAGUACAGAAAACAGUAGGAAUUCAUCUCAAAACACGAGAAAGCAUCCUCAAUCAAUUCCCAGACACUAUCAGGACUGUUCCCAUUUGGCAGAGGGAAGGAGAAUGAGCUUAAAAGAGAGUAUCAAUUAUGCUAUAUAAUAUAUAAUGAUCACAAAGCCCAAAAGUAUUCUCUAGAUAUAUUCAUCAAGUCAAACUUAAUAUAUCAGGCCAAGCUUUUUUUUUGGGAAAAAAAGUGCUUUUGGCUAGAAGCAGUUUUGAAGAAGCACAAAAAGUAGCUUCUCUCCGAAAGCAGAAGCAGUUUUUAACUUUUCUUUCUACCAAAAAUACCCUUUACAAAUAUUAUAUAUACCAAAAUAACCUUACUUAGUUUAAACUAUUAAGUAAUAUAAAAUGACUAUUGGGAUGAACUUUCAUAUUUAUUAAAUGAUUUUUUUAUAUAUUUAAUUAUAUUGAAAGAAUAAAGUACUUUUCAAUUUUAUUUUUAUAUUUUACUUAAAUAAAAUAAAAAACUUAAUUAUUAUCUUUAAUCGUAAAUAUUUGUAAUUAUUAAUCUACUUAUAUAAUAUUAACUAUUAAGCAAAUCUCUUCAUGUCCUUAUUGUAAUUUGACACUUAAAAGCACUCUUUUGAUAAGCUUGGCCCAACAUAAAUUAUUGUUCAAAAGUGCUUUUCAAAUUGAUUAGCCAAACACAAUUUGCUUUUCUCCAAAACGUACUUUUUCGAAAAGCACUUCUUAAAAUAAGCUAAUUUUUCCAGCUUGACCGAACAUGCUAUCAGGGAUUAAAGAUGCAGCCUAUGAGUUGACACUCCAUCUUGCAUCAUUUAGGUACAGGAUACAAUCCCAUUGAAGAUUUCACAGGCCUAUAUCCACCUCCAAGAAGUUAUUAAAAAAAAUGAAAAAAUUAAUAAAUCAUAGCAGAGUAGUAUUAGAGAUUCUUAUGCCAGUAGGAAAUAUAGAGAACUUCUAGGACUUUCCUCCCUUUUUUUGUAUUUUGUUUAAUGCUGGCGUGAGAUGAAUUUAAAUGGGGAACAUGAUCAGCCAGGAUUCAUAUAGCCUACACGAAUUUAUUAGGGGUUGAGGCUUAGUUGUUGUAAUAAAUCAUGACGGGUAUGUGGUUCAGUUGGUGAUACUACUGUAUUCUGUCAUGUCUCGUGAAAAGCUUAAAGGACCAUCGAUUUAAAAUUGCUUCUUCCGUUUUCAUCAACAGGACAAGUAGUCAACGAACAGACUAUAAGGAAGGGUAAGACCGUGGUAACAAAAGAAAACUCCAGCAUAUCCAAGUGUGCAGACGAACAUCAUAUGGUCAUCCAAUAUAACUAUAUGAAACUUUAUUUGAAAAAAAAGCAUGAAACUUGAGCUUAUUCUACAUUCGUCCGUCAAAUUAACUCUUUAAAAAAACUAAGACAACUAGUUAAUGGUUAUAUUGGCUUAAAAUGAUAAUACAUGUUUUAUAUUAGCUUAUCCACUAAGAACUCUUCUUGGAAAAAACGAAUUAGCAAGUGUAUAUCAAUUAGCACCAAAAUUCUCCAUGACUCCACCUUCAAAGAAAGUACAUGGUCAAACAAGGAUGUAUUAAGCAUCCAAUACAUGUUUCACAGAGACAAAUCCACUACACAAUUAACUUUUUGCUUCAAAGCAGAAUCUUUUUUAUGUAGUUUCCUUCAUUGCAAGAACAGUGAAGAGGCUAUACAACUGAUACGCUUAUGCUAAUUUUGAAAACAUGCAGAGGAGAUAGCUGAUAAAAAGAGUGGAGGCUUACCACCACUGCCGCUCCAGUAUCUGCAAAUCGGGGAAUGCAAAUAAGCCUUACCAUCUGCCCUUCUGAUCCUACACACAGUAGUAAUGAUCACAUACAUUCUCUAGAAUAACAAUUCAAAAAUUCAGUAACAUACCUUGUAUCAAGCGAGUUUCAAAUUUAUCUUGAUUGCCCACAAAAUAAACGUGAGGACAAGUUUCAACAUAGAAAGGAUCCUUAUCAGUGAAAGGAUAGCACCCUGCAAAUUUAAUUGUAUGAAUAUGCUAACUUAGCUGGAAGAAAUAUAUGCAAUCAAAUUGUUUUGCAAACUCUUCAAAGAACAGAAAAGGUAAUUAUCUCAACUCUUUCUUUUCCAAGAUCAUGUAGUUUGUCUCAUAAAAACGAUAUGCGAUCUAAAACCAUAAGCAUACUUGAAGUAAUGUAUCUGGUUUGGCUUUCUGAUGUCAUGUACUUUUGUACCAUCUUGGUACUAUUUUAAUAAGACCUUUACCAUUUCAAAAAAAAAUGAAUUUGUGAAAUCCAAAGAAUAAACUGAGCAGACCAGAAAACUUUAGGCAUGGAAACCACAAUCAUAAGAACUUGCAAGCGUAGCAAGGCAUAAAGUUUUGACCAAGGGUGUUUGGUGCUGUUGGUGCUAGAUGUCUCCACCUCAGUGUCCUCUCCAUAAAUUCAAUACUACUGCUUGCCUCAGAAUACUUGCCAAGAUCAUAGAUAUUUUGACCAGAUGUACCUAGGAACCUGAAGAUAUGCAAUAACCAUGUGAACAACGAAACAAAUUUCAACAAAAUAACUACAUCUACUACUGAAUCUUACCUGAUGUUGUCAAGUUCAAAGCAAUGUGGAUUCGUGCAAGAUCUGAAAGUGUUAUAAGCUGAUGGUCCAGGAAACAGGCAUCUAUGGAGAGGCUGAAAUUCACAGAUGACCACAAAAAACCAAUUAAACCUCUAAAAUCUAAAGAUCCAGGGAACAGGCAUCUAUGGAGAGGCUGAAAUUCACAGAUGACCACAAAAAACCAAUUAAACCUCUAAAAUCUAAAGACAAUGCUCUGACUGGUAGUAUUCAAACAUAUGCUAAAAGCACGCGGAGACCUGCUGUGGCAGCGCGAAAUUUGCUGGAUCACUGGACCCUGGCAUGAUAUCCAAAGGUAUACUUGCUGCAAUCUGGAAAAGGAGAAAAUCAAAUUCUGAACUCAUAGUGUCCGAUUUACAGAAAUAUGUUGGCUUCAAUUUAGGAUUAGAGGACCUGCGUCAACAAAAUAUCAAGCUCUUUAAUCGGCUCAAACAAUCUAGACUGGUCCUUUGAACCCAGAUUCUGCAAUACAAUCAAGUUCUGCUGUUAGUCGUCAAUAAUGGAGAUGGAAACUAGUCCUUCCCAGUUCUGACUAAAAUCAAAUGAAAGUAUUUGCAGCACAUGGAAAAAGAAUUUAAUUUUAUUAUAAUUUUUUAGGGGAAGAACGGAGCAAAACUUAAUUUACUGAAGGAUGAGUCCACUGAAAUGAGCCUGUACAAAUUAAAUACUAUUAUCUUGACUCUUUUGAGUAACCAACUAGUUUUAUAUUACUGUCAAAAGUUCGACAAAAUUCAAGAUCCAAAAGCUGCUAAGUUAAUAACAAUAGUAGAAACAAGACGUAGUGGCGUAGCAUUUCUGACUUUUUAAGUCACUAUAAUAUUCUCCUUCACCAUAUAAUAUCCUAAAGCUAGAUAAUAAUGUGUCUGACUAGCUGAAUUAAAGUCUUACAUCUACUUUUAAUCAUUAGAGAAGAAAGCAUAAGUUAUAUUCAAGGACUGAGGGUGUUCAACAGGGCAUUACUAGGUAAAUCAACUGAGAGGUUCGAAGUGGAGGAGCAAGCAUUAUGGAGAAGAGUUAUCACAGAAAAAUAUGGCACUCAAAGAGAAGAUAGGAGUACAACCCAGUUUACCCUGCCAUACAAGGUAGCUCUUUCAAAAAGCAAUAUGAAAGUGUGGGAGAAGUUUUAUAGUCAUAUACAAAUUAGUGUGAAUCAGUUUUUUGAAUUAUGGAUGGUGCCGACACAUACCUUUCUUUUCUUUUUUUUGAGAAGGUAACAUAAUUGUAUAUUAAUAUAAAACUUCACUAAAUUUGUGAAGUCACCCAUAAUAACAAUGAAAGUGCCCUAGCAAAAAAAAAAAGGAAUGACACUUCUAGUCCUUGAUCAUCUUAUAAGGACUCUAGUACAUCUAAAAUGGAUUCAUGAUCCUCCAAAAACUUUCUUUUACACCAAAAAUAGAAAAGAGCUACACAUUUCAUCUUUAUCUUUUGAACAUUGCUAGACUUAUUUUCAAAACAUCGUUGAUUUCUCUCUUCCCAAACUGUCCAUCAUAUGUAGGCUGGUCAUCCAUCGUUCUCUUUCUCUAGAUAAUAUGCCCUCUUUACUCCAGCAGGCUAGAAUAUCAAGGACUCUUCCUGGCAUUGCCUAUUGAAUUCCCCUCAAACUGAUGAAAAUUCUCCAUAUUUGGAUAGUGAACUUGCAAUGCAGAAAAAGAUGGUUAAUUGUCUCUGCCUUCUCUCCACAUAAAUAGCAUCUGGAACAUAAUUGGAAUCCUCUUCUAGGUAAAUUGUCCUGCGUUAGAACUGCUUUUCUUGCCAAAUCAUCUUCCAUGGCCAGCAAUCCACCUGAUUAUUGGAUACAGUAAACUCCUUGUAGGCAGCCUUAACAGAAAACUUCCCUUGACUAUUGCCUUGCCACUUGAUUAGGUCUUGUUCUUGGUUUGAGUUGAUACUACUGAACUGCUGCAAAGAACUGUAGAACUCCACAACUCUGUCAAUCUCCCAGUCAUUUAACAUCCUUCUAAAUGUGAGGUUCCAGCCUUGGUCUGUCCAUACCUCUUCUAUAGUUGCAUUCUGGUGUUGACACAGUAUAAAUGUCAAGAAAGAGCCCCUUAAGAGGUCCUUGUCCUAGCCAGUUGUCCUCCCAUAGUGAGAUCUUCCUACCAUUUCCAACUUUGAAUUUUGCUUUGUUGAUUAAUUUUGGCCAUAGGUUUCUAAUUGAUCUCCACAGAUUGACUCCAUAUGGCCCUCUUACAGUUUUAGUUGUCCAGUUUUCUUCCAUUCCAUAUUUUUCCCAAACCACUUUUGUCCACAGUGUUUGUUCAUCUGCUGCAAAUUUCCACAGCCACUUCAUCAUCAAGCUUUGAUUCUGGACUCUCAAAUUUUUGAUCCCCAAACCACCUGACUUUUUGCUUGUAACUAGAUCACCUCACUUGACCAAGUGAAACUUCUUUUCUCACAGUUACCUUCCCAUAGGAAGUUUCUUCUUAGGGCAUCAAUUCUGUUCACUACACUGGCUGGAAUUGGAAAUAUGACAUCAUAAUAUGUAGGCAUGGCAUCAAGUACAGAGUUAAUCAAGAUCAACCUUCCCCUAACUGAUAGAUAUUGAUUCUUCCAGUUAGCUAGUUUCUUUUCACAUUUCUCCAGUACAUCAUUCCAUAUUCCUUUUGUUUGAUCUUGGCACCCAAUGGCAUCCCCAGAUAUACUAUAGGCAAUUCCCCUACCUUCCCCUCAAGAACAUUGGCCAGACUCUGUAACUCCAUAACCUCAAUAACUGGGUAAAUGUAACUUUUUUUCCGGUUAAUGUGCAACCCAGAUGUGGCUUCAAAGAGAAUGAAUAUCACCCUUAGAACUGUCAAUUGCUCUCUUUCUGCUUCACAGAAGACUAAAGUGUCAUCUGCAUAUUGUAAAUGAGAAAUUCUUCUGUUGUGUCAUUUCUCGUGCUAAUUUUGAAUCCCCUAAUCCAGUUGUUUGCCUGAGUUGUUUUCAGCAUGUCAUUUAAUCCCUCCAUGACUAUGAUAAAUAGGAAAGGGGAGAGAGGAUCCCCUUGCCUUCGCCCCCUCUGUCAAGGAAAAAAUCCAGCUGGGGCUCCAUUAAUUAGAACUGAGAAGCUUACCAUGGAUAUGCAGAAUUUUAUCUAGCUAAUCCACCUCCCUCCAAAGCUCAUCCUUACAAUGACAAGAAGGUACUUCCAGUUUAAAUGAUCAUAUGCCUUCUCAAUAUCUAGCUUACAUAGGAUACCUAGUUCUUUGCUUGUUGUUCUUAUGUCUAUGCACUCAUUAGCUAUUAAAAACAGCAUUCAUGAUUUGUCUUCCUCCUAUGAAUGUCAUUUAUUGAGAAUUCACCGGCUUGUUGGCCACCUUGUUGAGCCUCUCCGUCAAUAGCUUGGAUAUAAUAUUAUAUAUGCUGCCAAUCAAACUUAUGGGUCUGAAGUCUUUUAGUUCUUUUGCCCCCACCUUCUUAGGAAUCAAUGCCACAAAUGUAGCAUUCAUGCUCUUUUCAAAGACUCCUUGAUCAUAAAUGUACUGGAUUGCUGCUACAACUACCUUUUUUACCAUAUCCCAGCAAUUGUUGAAGAAGGCCAUUAUCCAUCUGGUCCUGGUACCUUGUCCCCUACACAUGCCUUAACACUGUCUCAUAUUUCUUGUUCUUCAAAUGGACUCUGCAACAUUAAGUUGUCCUACGUUGAAAUCAUUUGGUUGAUUAUAUUGGGUCCUACUGGUCUCCACUCUUCUUCUUCUUUGUACAACUUUUUGUAGAAUCUGAUAACCUCCCUCUUGAUGUCAUCUAGAUUCUGCAUAGUCUCCAUUCUACCAACAAUUGGUCUAUGUUAUUGUAUCUCCUGUGGCCAUUAGCUGUUAUGUGGAAGAACUUGGUGUUCCUAUCACCCUCUUUCAACCAUAGAGCCCCGGAUCUCUGCGUCCAUGCUACUUCUUCAUGAUUAGCAAUCUUCUCAAACUCCAAGGAUAAAGAGUUUUUUUUUAGAAUAUCUCUUCUUCGAUCAAAAUUCCUUUGUUCAUGAAUUUCUUCCAAUUCUGCCAGUUGGUUGAGAACACUUGCCUUCUGUAGGGCUAGGUUGCCUUGCAAAGUUUUACUCCAUUCCUUGAGCUUGUUCUUCAGUGCUUGGAGUUUAGAGACUAGUAUAAAGUCUGGCCUUCUUUCACAGUUGACGGAGUUCCACCAUUCUUCAAUUCUACCUUUAAAUCCCUCGGUCUGAAGCCACCAGUUUCAAACUUGAAGUAUGAUUUAACUAGUUUCCAGCUCCCACAUUUGAGCAUCAAAGGGGAGUAGUCUGACUUAACCCUCAGCAUCAGCUGCUGCUUUAUGUUCCUAAAGUCUUCAUUACAGUCAGCCGAGAUCAAAAAUCUAUCCAAUCUAGCUAUUGUUACAUGUCUGUCCCCUUUUCUCUAUGUUUAUUCACCCAUGCUAACUGAAAAUAAUACUAGUUCCAUAUCUUCAAUAAAAUUUGAAAAAUCCAUCAUUGCUCUAGUGAUUCUAAAGGAAUUCUUCUUCUCAAAUGGGACAGUAUUGAAGUUCCCACACACUACCCAUGGUCCUGUAAUUAGACCUCUUACCCCUGCCAACUCCCACCACACUUUUCCCUUCUUCUUCUGUCAUUAGGGAUGGCAAAUGGGGCGGGGCAGUGUGGGGCGGGGCAAAAUUUUAAUAGGGCAGGGCAGGGCCAAGUCUUAACGAGGUAGGGUAGAGCGGGGUGGGUCAAAACACAUUUUCUAAAAAUAGUUAAUGGGGCAAAGCAGAGAUAGGGCAAUAAGUAGGGUAUUUGUGAGAAAGCACGGGAGAAGAAUAUAACUGAUAUUAAACAUGAUACAAUGAGCCCUAUAUNNNNNNNNNNNNNNNNNNNNNNNNNNNNNNNNNNNNNNNNNNNNNNNNNNNNNNNNNNNNNNNNNNNNNNNNNNNNNNNNNNNNNNNNNNNNNNNNNNNNNNNNNNNNNNNNNNNNNNNNNNNNNNNNNNNNNNNNNNNNNNNNNNNNNNNNNNNNNNNNNNNNNNNNNNNNNNNNNNNNNNNNNNNNNNNNNNNNNNNNNNNNNNNNNNNNNNNNNNNNNNNNNNNNNNNNNNNNNNNNNNNNNNNNNNNNNNNNNNNNNNNNNNNNNNNNNNNNNNNNNNNNNNNNNNNNNNNNNNNNNNNNNNNNNNNNNNNNNNNNNNNNNNNNNNNNNNNNNNNNNNNNNNNNNNNNNNNNNNNNNNNNNNNNNNNNNNNNNNNNNNNNNNNNNNNNNNNNNAGAUUUCUAGACCCGAAAGCAUCGAGUCCCAAAGACAUCGUUGAAAACUUGCUGAAACAGAUAAAGGAAAUACUGUUUUUGCCGGAAAAUUAUUGUAGAUGCCGGAACAAGUCACUGUAGAUGCCGGAAAAACUUCAAAGUGGUCAGAAUUGAAAAGUAAAAAUAUGGGUAGGCUCGAAAUUUGAGGGCGAUCCAACUGCCCUGAAGGACCUUCGUCAAAAUCUCACCGGAACAGUGCUCACGCGCCGGCGUGUGGGGCGCGUGAGUUGGAUCUGCCUGGAUAAAUCUGGCGCGUGAGGGCACGUGAAGGGCAGUUUUCCGAUGGGGUUUGCUGGGGUUUGGUCGGAUCUCUAUUGGGAACCUUGUGGUGGUGUUGAUUUUUUGCACAACACUGAUAAUUAGUGACUUUGACGCAAUUAGUUACUUGGGUCACCGGAAAAUUACACGGUGACUGGGUUAUUUCCUCCCGGAUGUCGUUGCAAUGACGCACAACGAUAAUUAUCUCACCAAAGCUCUGAUAUCAUGUGAGAAAGCACGGGAGAAAAAUAUAACUGAGAUUAAACAUGAUACAAUGAGCCCUAUAUAUACACANNNNNNNNNNNNNNNNNNNNNNNNNNNNNNNNNNNNNNNNNNNNNNNNNNNNNNNNNNNNNNNNNNNNNNNNNNNNNNNNNNNNNNNNNNNNNNNNNNNNNNNNNNNNNNNNNNNNNNNNNNNNNNNNNNNNNNNNNNNNNNNNNNNNNNNNNNNNNNNNNNNNNNNNNNNNNNNNNNNNNNNNNNNNNNNNNNNNNNNNNNNNNNNNNNNNNNNNNNNNNNNNNNNNNNNNNNNNNNNNNNNNNNNNNNNNNNNNNNNNNNNNNNNNNNNNNNNNNNNNNNNNNNNNNNNNNNNNNNNNNNNNNNNNNNNNNNNNNNNNNNNNNNNNNNNNNNNNNNNNNNNNNNNNNNNNNNNNNNNNNNNNNNNNNNNNNNNNNNNNNNNNNNNNNNNNNNNNNNNNNNNNNNNNNNNNNNNNNNNNNNNNNNNNNNNNNNNNNNNNNNNNNNNNNNNNNNNNNNNNNNNNNNNNNNNNNNNNNNNNNNUAGAUCGCCCUCAAAUUCCGAGCCUACCCAUAUUUUUACUUUUCAAUUCCGACCACUUUGAAGUUUUUCCGGCAUCUACAGUGAUUUUCCGGCAUCUACAGUAAUUUUCCGGCAAAAACAGUAUUUCAUUCAUCUAUUUCAGCAAGUUUUUAAUGAUGUCGUUGGGACUCGAUGCGUUCGGGUCAAGAAACCCGGGUUCGAUGUUAACUACAUAUGUAACAAGCUCGGUACAUAUGAUUUAUAUGCACNNNNNNNNNNNNNNNNNNNNNNNNNNNNNNNNNNNNNNNNNNNNNNNNNNNNNNNNNNNNNNNNNNNNNNNNNNNNNNNNNNGGGGGAGUGUUAGAAUAUGUAAUAGUAGAACCCUAAUCCAAUGUGUAUUAGGAGUAGCCUAAUCCAAUGUUUAUUAGGAGUAGGUUAGGUUAUGUGUAUAUAUAUAGGGCUCAUUGUAUCAUGUUUAAUAUCAGUUAUAUUUUUCUCCCGUGCUUUCUCACAGUAUUAAAGGACAACAACCCAUUAACCAAAUGACCUCUUGUAGAUUUCUCAAUUUUCACAAGAACUACAACACAUACGUGUAAAAUGUUUUUGAUCAGAAUUCAACUUUAUUUGGUUGAAGUUUUAAAAAAAGAGUAUUUAAGUGGUGCUCGUGAAAAUUUGAAGUUUGUAAAACAAAAUUAUUAUUUUAUUUAAAAUACGUCUCAAAUCAUUUUGCAAACUCCAAACAAUGAACCAAACUAUAAAAUAAACAUAGCUUUGUCAAUCUUUAACUAUUUAAUGAGUUAUCAAAUGAGUUCUCAAUCCAUAUAAUUGUCAUACAAUAUUGAUAAAAGUUAUAUUUUAUUCAAUCAAUAUGCAUAAACAACUAAAUAAUAUUUUAAAUGUUUCAAUAGAAAGUUGAAAAAGUAAAAGAAAUUAAAAGCAUACUGCAAAACAAAAAAAUAACGAGAAAAAAAUAAAAAAGAGUCUAAACAGGGCAGGCGGAGCAGGGCAUAAUAGGGCGGGACAGGGCAAAUUUUGACAAAAGGCUAAAUGGGGGAGGGGCAGGGCGGGUCAAAUUUAGCAGGUCAAGGCUUGCCCUGCCCCGCCCUACCCUGCCAUGCCCUAUGUUGAGUUGUCCCACAUCGGAGGGACUUGAGGUCAUUGGUCUCCUUAUAUGGCUUGGGCAAUCCUCAACUCAUAAGCUAGCUUUUGGGGUUGAGUUAGGCUCAAGGUCCAUUCUUCUCAUGGUAUCAGAGCCAGACCCAUCCCAAUUAUUGAUACCGAUGUUGGCCCCCCAUUUAUGUUGUCCGCGCUCCAGAGAUCUGGGCGUGAGGGGGGGUGUUGAGUUGUCCCACAUCGGAGGGACUUGAGGGCCUUGGUCUCCUUAUAUGGCUUGGGCAAUCCUCACCUCAUAAGCUAGCUUUUGGGGUUGAGUUAGGCCAAAGGUCCAUUCUUAUCAACAACCAUCAUAAUUGAUGUGACAAACCAAAAUUUUAACCUCAUAGCUUCCUUGUUUUUUGUUAGAAUGUGGAGAAGGAGACGGAGAGAAUUUCUUAAGGAUCCCUAUAUGCCAUCCCUAUCUGUCAUUCGGAGCAUACACAGCUGAUAAAUUGCCAUGUAUAAUCCUGAGUCUUACUUGAAAAUUUACAAGUGUGCGAGCACCCACACCACAUACUUCCCCCUUCCAUGCUCUACCAUCCCACAUUACUACAAUUUCCCUCUAGUCCCACUAGCCUCCAAUUGAGUAUAUUUUACCCAUUGGACCCCAUAGCUCUCUAACUAUCUCCCUAAUACCCCCCUCUAUUUAGAUUCUCCAAAACGAACUAUAUUUGCUUUCCACCUUAGUAACAAACUUUUGACAACUCUCCUUUUCUUUACUCUAUUCAACCCCCUCACAUUCCAUUAUAAUAUAUUUACUAACAUUGAUUUUGAUUGAUGAUGCAUCCCUACUUCUAGUACCAUUGCUCUUGAAAUUGCUUGCAAUUUCCGGGCCUUUCAGUUCUUUGAAUCCCUUUUUCUACGGAGUCUAAUUCACUUGUGUCACUUUUUUCCCUUUGUUUGAUUGUCUUCUAUUGUCAAUCUUCAUGAACAAUUCCAGAGCUUCUCUCUCGCAGCCAUUAAAGACCAACCCAAGUUCUUUGUUGAGUUUGAUGAUGUUCUGAUGCACCCAAAUUGAUGCUUCAAACUCCAGGUCUUCUUCUGAUUCUAAGUUUUGUUGGUUUAGAGGAACUAAAUUGAUGCUUCGAACUCCAGGUCUUCUUCUGAUUCAAAGUUUUGUUGGCUUAGAGGAACUGCUUCUUCAAUUGCCCAAUCAACAGUCCUAUCUGUUACUGUUGCUUGCAUGUGCAUGCUAUUGACCACCUCUAGAUCUUCUCCUGUUCUUUCGUUCACUGCCUUGGUUACUAUUGUGUUUUCUUCGAUCAGUAUCAUUUGUUUCCUUCCUUCUUCAUUGCCUUCAUUACUUUUUUCUUGCUCUUUUUCUUCUGUUCUAUUAUUGUUUCUUUUGUCUCUAUGAUUCUCCGCCAAGGUUGUUGUACAGACUCCCCUUAAAGACUUGAAUUGAAGGGCUUUUAACUCUUCACUAAAGGAGUCAGUUUUGGUCCUAAAAGUGGGCUUAUUAAAAGCCUUCUCUUUAGAAAUGGUUUGGGCUAAAGAAUCAGGAACCAUUUCUUUUGUGAUAUAAGAUUGGCUGGCUUGGUUAGAAGAGUUUAAGUUGUCUAGGUUCUGAUUUGAAUUAAUCACGUGUCCCAUCAGUGCUUUAUCACCUCGAGCCCCUCCCUCUGUUUAUUGAGAGCCCUUUACUACCCGCUGGUUCAAGUCUUUCUUUUUUGAAAAGGUAAAGUUUUACUAACUGGAUACCAAGAUGGUACCAGAAAAUAGUACAAACUGCUGGGAAUAUCAACAACAACAACAACCCAGUAUAAUCCCACUUAGUGGGGUUCGGGGAGGGUAGUGUGUACGCAGACCUUACCCUUACCCUGGGGUAGAGAGGCUGUUUCCAAAUAGACCUCCGGCAUCCUUCCCUCCAAGAACUUCCNNNNNNNNNNNNNNNNNNNNNNNNNNNNNNNNNNNNNNNNNNNNNNNNNNNNNNNNNNNNNNNNNNNNNNNNAUAAACCCCCGACAUCCUUCCCUCCAAGAACUUCCCACCUUGCUCUUGGGGAGACUCGAACUCACAACCUCUCAGUUGGAAGUAGGGGUUGCUUACCAUCAGAGCAACCCCUCUCGUCAAACUGUUGGGAAUAUCCAUACAGGUAAUUACAACAUUUUCUAAGUAACUCCAUAAAAUCCAUGUAAUGAUCAGUAUUAUCUACCAAACUGCUAUUACCCCAAAGAAAUAGAUUGUACGGACACUUAUUUUUUAUUCUAUAAAUAUGAUCUUUCUGGCCAUCAAAACAAGCCCUAUUCCUCUUUAUCUUCUCCAUUCUCACCGACAGUGGAUCUCGCCGGCGAUUCACACCAGAUCUGCAUUUCGAAGACCAUUCCUUCCAUUUCCACUUUCACUGUCCCAGGAAUUGUAGAUCCAUCUCCUUUAACCUUUAUCCUAGUCCAUUUCAGAUGGUUCUUUAGUUCCGUUUCCUCCUCUGUUUCCACCCAUCCAACGAAAAAUUCUCCAAUUUCUCUGAAGACUUUUUGAGACCAAAGGUGGAGAGGAAGCCCUAUGAUCCUAAUCCAUACAUGUAUUACGUUUUCAGUGUUGGGAUUGUCCCCACUGUUGGACACCACCAUUAAAGCUUUACUUUGAGUUUCUUCCGGUACCAGUCUAAUCUUAGAACAUGGUCUAUUGUUGCUUUCGAUGGGAAUUCAAAAAGGAACCUGUGCUGGUCCAUCUCAAAGAUGUUGAUGUCCUUUGUUUGCUUCCAAGAAUUCGAGACCCAUUUUCGGACUUCAAACAGGGUCGCCAUUUCUGAGCUUUAUAUUGGGAAGAACCCCACCAAACACCUACCUAGCAAUUCAUUGCGCUUAUGAUUUCCAGUUAUACGAAUGAUGCCUUUAUUUUCAUCAACUCUUGCUUCAUUCAUUUCUCUACCUACCCAUUUAUAACUCCAGACAAUGUUAGAGUACUGGAGUCCUUCAACCUCAUCACAAGCAUUAAAGACAUUCCUCCUUAACCCCCCCCCCCCCCCCCCNNNNNNNNNNNNNNNNNNNNNNNNNNNNNNNNNNNNNNNNNNNNNNNNNNNNNNNNNNNNNNNNNNNNNNNNNNNNNNCCCCAAUUAAUGAAUUAUUGCAAUAUCUAGCCAACCUGAAUUGAAAGCCGCCUCUAGGAGAAUUAUAGCAUAUCUUCCCCUGCCUAUGACCCUAAUGAUGGAUAUAAUGACCAUAACUGUUAAAGUUCCUUGCACAAAAUGUCUCUGAGAAUUGAUCUUUGUUUUUCCACCUUUUCACAUAAUUCCUUUCACCUUUAAAGCGUCUUUCAUGUUUUCGCAUAACCUAAUCAUCGUUUCCUGCUAAAUGUAGUCCUUCUAAUUAGGUUCCUUCCACGUUCUGUCUAUUCAAACCAUUCCUCGUGGUUGUGCAUCUCUCUAUCUCGUACGAUUUGAACCCCAGUGCAAAGUAUAUGAUGUUUUCCUUCAUUGUUCGAAAUCCUGGAUGAUUAAGGCACUAAGAAUAAUUUGGGGAAAUAAAAUGGAAUUUAAUCGCUGAACACAGUAGGUGAUCACUGGACUCUAGGAAAGAAGUGGUUAUUACAGCAAAAAGGACGCCGGAAAGUUUCUCUACAACCCUUGGAAGAAGGAGAGAGAGUGUCCUAGGGGACUGUGCCUGAGAGCAUUUUUAGUUUCUUGGUCUUUUUCACUUCUCCAUAGAAUCAGCAAUUCCUUCACAAAGAUAUAGCUUUCCUAAGCAAGGCCUAAUGCUGACACAUACCUUUGUGUAAUGGUUUUGAGUCAGUUAGAAUUUCUUUAACAUGUUUAGCUGUCUGUUAGGAGAAACCUGCCAGACAGAGGUCCAAAAAAGAAAACUCAAUUUUCUCGGGCUAUUGCAUAAAUAGAAGAUCACACCAAUGGAUGAACUUGGGAGUGGGAGGGACAAAGGAAAUAAUUGUCUACUUGGAUCAUUUACAAUAGACUCUUGUGAAGGGAGGAAAUAAGUUCCCUUAUUCAUCAGUAAGAUCCCCAGAGAGUCGUUAUAAAAAAAAACAUUAACAACUCCCAAUGCUCCAAUAGGUGUGUAUCUUCAUAUUAAUGGCAUAUAGGAAGCAUUUCACAUGGUUAGGAAUCUGAGGAAAAGUAGGAAAUCUACAUUCGUUGAUUAUUACAUGCAAGCCUACCGGAUAUGACUUUAACCAUUUAUUGUUCCACUACAUCGGUUAUGUUGCGUUUUAAAGAAAAUCUUAGGGAUUAAUUGGGUGAUGCCAAGCUCAAUCAAGGAUAUGUUGGAAUUUAGAAAGAGGCAGAGAAGUAGAUAUGGGAUGUCACUUUUCGCGCUUAUGUGGACAUAUGUAAGGAAUGGAACAUGGGGGCAUUUGAGGCAUGUAGAAGAGUAUUUUGUACAAAUUACAGGAUUUUUCUUUUGUUUUCUGCAUACUACUAGAGCAGCCGUGACAAUCCAUUCAGAAUUGAUGAUUAAUUGCUAUUUUGUAGAGAACCAUGCUUUGUGUACAUCUUCUACGGAGAUUUCUCAUCUAAUUGAUAAAAAUUAUUACUUUGUCCCAAAUAAAUAUUUCUAUAAUUUAAACAUAAUUCAGACCAUGAUAUUUGGCCUAAAAGUAUGCAUAUUUAUAUGCAUAUUGUCUCGCAUUUUACUCAUGUUUCGUGAUGUAUAAUGUAAUAAUUUGUGCUAAUUUGUGGUAUUUUUAUAGGUAGGAGUCAUCCGGAGGCAAUGUGGGACGAAGGUGCAAGAUUUGAAGAGACAAGGGAAUUAAGUGAAAAUUUUGGACAGUGUAAUGUUGGGCGCUACCAGUGGCGUAGUUUCCAGAAGUGCCAAAAUACCCAGCACCCCACGCUACACUGGGCGCUGGGUGACGGGAAGUUGACCUACUUCGCCCGGGACAAAGUUAUUUCACCCAAAACGCCCCCAACUCAUAUAAAAGCAAGUCUAAACCUAUUUUGGAGGAGAGGACACCAUUUUAAGAGGAAAAUACAUGCACGGAGCACUCGGGAGCAAGGAUUCUCAGUUUUUCUUCAUCUUCUCUUCCUUUAACUUUUAUAGUUUAUUAGUUCUAGAGUUGUGGGUGCUACACGAACAUUGUAGUUUGAAGCUUCAAUUGUUCAUGUUAUUUUAUCAUAUUGGUUUAUUUAUUCAAUCUUGUGCUUAAUUAUUUGAUUGAUUGAUCACCAAUUGAAUACUAUCUACGAAUCAAGGAUUGAAGGGAAUUUAAAUUGCACAUAAGAUUGAGCAGAGCAAGAUCUUGAACCCGAGUAUCAGAAACAGAUUUGCGGUUAGGAUAGGGAUAUACCUAAUAGCCUUGGUUACUAUACGGGAAUUAUUAAUGCGUUCUUGUUAAUCUUAAUUCCAUAGGAAUAUAGGGGUUAGGUUAGCUUGAAUAGGUGAAUAGAUACUACGAGUAAUAUUAACCAUGUCAAUCAAUAAACCAGAUAAAUUAAUUAGAUAAUUUAAAUCAAAAAUUCAACGGGAUUGUUAGCUAACCCAUAGCUCUAGACUAUUUUCUCUCAUUGAAUUCGCGUCUAAUAUUGACGACUUGUUUUCUUUAAUUUCUUCGUUUUCGACUCUAGAUUAGUUGUAGUUAAUAAUCUUUAGAAAAGUGCUUGAACAGGUUAAUUGUUUUAGUUUAAUUUAGUAACUAGUUAAUCAUAAGUCCCUGUAGCUAUGAUAUCUGGACUUAUAAUCCUAUAUUACUUGUACGACCACCUAUACUGCUUGUGCAUUUGGAAGCAACAAGCCCCAAUAAAAUUUAUUACUUCAUCAAACAGAAAAAUUUAAUAUCAGUCUCAGAGCCACAUAAGAUAAACUAGCAUCAGACCGUUACUUCCAAUUUACACUAUGAAUUGCAAGAAUACAGGUAUAGAUAAUUAUUUACGCUAUUUCUGCUGGAGUUACUAAUGCUCUUUUGUUUUUGUUUUUAUUUNNNNNNNNNNNNNNNNNNNNNNNNNNNNNNNNNNNNNNNNNNNNNNNNNNNNNNNNNNNNNNNNNNNNNNNNNNNNNNNNNNNNNNNNNNNNNNNNNNNNNNNNNNNNNNNNNNNNNNNNNNNNNNNNNNNNNNNNNNNNNNNNNNNNNUGGAAACAGCCUCUCUGCCCUUUCGGGUAGGGGUAAGGCUCGUCUACAUAUUACCCUCCCCAGACCCCACUUUGUAGGACUAUACUGGGUAGUUGUUGUUCUUGCAAGAAUACAGGUAUAGAUCAACAAAAAGAAAUAAUCAGAAGUCACUUGUACCACAUGCAACAUGUCUCAUCAUACUGCAAAGUGAAAGAUAUCAUUCAAUCAAGACAACACUACAAAACAUAAAGUCAGCAAGAUGGCUUCUAACAACUAACAUAACAUCAAAGGCACAGAAUUCGCUAAUUCACAUAUCAAAGAUUUGGCAAUAAAGAUCUCAUUUGCUAACAGAAAACUUGUAGAAAAGUGUUUCCAAUAAAUUGAUAUUUGGAUUAAGGAUACAAAUAAGUCAAUUAAUCAACAAAGCCUCAAUCCCAAACUAAUUGGGAUCGAUUAUGUGAAUCCUCUAGAACCAUUUUUUGGUCCAUAUGGGCAGAACUAAAUAAUUUGUCUUUUAAAUAAAAGUUAAGAUUCUCUACUCUCUAAAUCUCACCUAUCCCUACAUUGACAUAGAGAUCUCUAACUAAAACAAAAAUACUGGCAAAAACCGGAUCUAAUGUAAGUGCAACAACAACAAGUCUUAACACCAACUAGUUGGAUAGGUACUCUGUUGUAUGUUAAUGGACUUCAUUUUUUUUAAAUAAGCAAAAGUAAUACUUCUUAAUUUAGCACUUAUUAUCACAAAGCAUUUGACGUAUUGAAACAAAACAAUUUCUUAAACAUGUUUCUUGGAGUUUAAUCUACAUCUGAAACAACAAAAUGUUCAUCCAAUUCAAGUUUAAUGCCACAGAGAAAUAUUAGCAAUUCUAGCAUAUGACUCGAAAAAAUCCUCUCAGUGAUGAGAAGUAGCAUUGAUGUACACAAGGGAAAAGAGACUGGUGGAGAAGAUAUGGAAAGACAAGUUUGCUUUAAGGACAAAAGUAAAGAUUAGUACCUGUCCAUUGAGAAGUCCAUGAGGUACUUCAACAGAGUCUCCAGCAAUAACAACUUGAACUAUUUGAGCUGCAACAUUUUGUUCCUUUUCAAGUGAUACAUUUCAGGAUAGCAUACAUUAGCCAGAUUGUCAUGUGUCACAUACUUACAAGUAGAAAGUUAAGAAAAGAAUACUAUUGAACCUUCACGUCUCCUAAAUGUCCAGUAAUGUGAUCAACAAAAAGUUGAAAUUGGAGAGGAUUAGAAGAGCUUCUCCCAACACUCAAACCAGAAAUGAAAACCACAUAUUUAUCUUCACCUGUUUACAUGCAACACAAGAUGUCUGAUUAUAAUCCAGGAAAAGAAAAAGAACUGCAACAAAGCAGUCUUUCCUAUAGUUGAAGCGAACAUUACAGAAUUUGACACUUCCCUAGAAUCUAACAACUUUUAGUUAUAAAAAGAUUUUCAUAUUUAAAUGAUUAUGCUAUUUUGCUGAGCUUCAAAGUUCAUAGUGACAGGCCGAUGAAAAUCAGAAAUGGGGCCGCACAUAGAUAAGAGAAAAUAUUGAUGCUGUCUAAGACAGAUAGUUUUGUUAUCAGGAUUCUCAAUUGAGGCAGCAAUGGGAUGAAUAUCUAACACAAUAAAGAAAGGUGAUUGAGUAAUAAGGGGACCUUGUGAGAAGUGAAACUCCAAAAGGAUAUUAGGGACACAAAAGAAAAUAAACUUUUCUGGAAAAAAUGACCAGAAUGCUAAAAUCAGUUAUGCUAAGCUUAAAUCACCUGUUGACCAAGAUCACUCAAUUCCACCACUGAAAUUUACAUUGUUCACAUAGAAUAAAACAUAGCUUUCAUCAAACAAUCUUAGGAAAAAGAGUAUGCAUACAAAGAAAGUUUUAACGACUUUUUGUGCAGGAACUUCUAAUCAUAUCAUAACCCCAGGUGUGCCAAUCAGAGAUCUAAAAUAAAAAAUGUUGCCUGUAUGGAUGCAGUACUCAAUGGACACAAGCACAAACCACAGGAUAAUGUUAUUGACAACUAAAAACAGGGAAGCUAGGUCCUUGAUACCUAAGUCAAUUGGUCGCUCUAUUUGCUGUGGUAGACCGGCCUCCAGAACAUCUUCAACCAAAAAAUCACCAGCACUAGUUUCUUUUCCAUGCAAUGCAGCAAUCAUACCUACAGAACACCACACAUAGUAAAGCAGUCAUGUCAUUUAUGAGCCAGCUAACUUACCCUUGCAAAAGGGAGAAAAAUUUUCUCUAAUAGAAAAGUCAUUGUCAGUUAAUGAUUACAUCUUCAAACAAAAAUGUAGGUAACCAGCCAAAAGCCCUCAAUCAUACAACCAAAAUUAGUUAAAAAUCAGUUCAGCUACAUGACAGGACUGAGCUAAAGCUACUCACCUGUUACAUAUGUAGAUGGCAAAAGAACAGAGCCGCUUAGUUUGACUCUUCCGCUCUCAUCUUCCAGAACUAAAUUAUCAUCUGGGUGCGUAAAGUUAUGACGUUGCACAAGCGGUGCAGCAGAUCUCUGUACAACCAAAUUCAAUUAUUAUGGCUUAAAGAAGGGAGAUAUUUACACAAUUACAAGGCAUAUCUGCACAAGAAAGGUUCUAAAAUAAACCUUCAGACAGGGAAAUCAACAUGUUGUGUCAUCAACAUUUUAUACCUCCUUAGAGUACUCAUCAAGAACAGAAGGUUUAAGCUUCAUGUGCUUGUAGAGUGUCCCAACUAUAAUGCAUUCUUUGCCUUCCUCUAAUCCUAGAACAGUACAGACUGCAAUUAAGAUGCAAGAUACAGUAGUUAAGGAAACAAAACACAAGGAAUAUGUAACAUUUGAUAUUGUAAACCUUCUAACCACCAAUAGGUAAGCUCUAAAUUAUUCCACCGUAACAAGUGCAAAUUCCAAAUCACACACGAGUGAGGAAGUUGAGAAAUUAAAUUAUCAAAAUCCUAGUAUACCAAAAGUAAAACAAAUAUCAAGAAUAAGGUACCCAACACUGUACUAAAAACAAAACAAUGUCACUUAAAUUGAGAUAGAGAAGAUAAUAUUUACUUUGCUAGAAGAAGGAAAGAAAUGGGUAAGUUGAGUUACCAGGCAAAUGGGGUUUCCAAUUGGGAAGGAGAGAGUAAAGGAGAGUACGCAUCAAAUGGAGCCUAGCAUAAUAUAUUUGACUGUACUGCUGUCCCCUGUAUACCUCCUUCCCUAUCUCAAAACUCUCAUCCUGUUAAAGCAAUGAAAACCUAGAAAUUAAGGUAUAGAAAUAAAAUAAAAAGGAAGAAUUUUUUUGCAAAUUGACUACAGUAGCUUUGGAAUGAAGGGCAAAGAAGAGCGUAGGAACAAGAGAAUUGUUGGUAAAAUGCUACCAAAGAAUGGUAAAGGGACUGUUUUCGCUGGAGAAGGUUGCUCUCUGAGUCCACUUCCAUUGCUACGACCAUGCAAAAUUACUCUUGCACUACUACUAUUCUAUGUAUACUAUUAAGUAAUAAUAGCGCUCGAUUUGCAAGCGGGAGGUAGUAUUGGGGUGUGCAUUCAAAUUGGUUUAUCGAUAAAUCGAAUCAAUUAUUUGUUAUCGAUUUAAAAAUUGUCGGUUUAUCGAUUAAUCGAUCUGGAUUUCAAAAUUUUCCUUAUCGAAUUAUCAAUUUCAAUUUUAAUUUUGUCCUCUUCGGUUAUUGGUUUAUCAAUAAACCGAUAAGAUAUACUAAAAGACAAAAAAAAUAACCUUAUUCUAUAAUACCAUUUCCUUUAGCCUAAGUCCCUAACCUUAUUAUUUCCUCUAUUAUAUUUAGGGAAUGAUCAUAUUUAAAGGUCAAGGGAAUGAAGUUCAAAUUAAUGAAAAAUAGAAUUAGCCGUGAUGAUGUAUUUUUUUAUACCGUUUGAGUGUUGAUGGCAUACAUUUUAUCUCUUACUUUAGUUUCGUUGCAUGUGCUUGUUGACACAAUUUUUAUGUUAUAGAUGGUGUUCGUCUUAUUUUAGCUUCUUUUUGUCUAUAUUAGUUAGGUGUGUUUAUAGCGAUAUACUUUACGUAAAAUCCCGCAAAUUUUUUUAUUGGUAUAAUCGAUAACUGAAUCGAUAAGCCCCAAAAAUCGAUAAAUCGAAAAAAAUCGAAACCUUACCGAAGCUAUAAUGAUAAGCAUAUGUACAAAUUGAUAAUUGAUAAAUAAUUAUCGAUAAAGGUCAAUAUCGAAUGCACACCCCUAGUUGCACAAGAGCUCUAUAGAGGAAGAUCGAGUGUUCCAGCCUAGAAACAGAAGAGAAGAAGAUUUAGGAGAAGAAGAAUUAGAGUAGGAGAUUGUAAUACUUUCUCAUUAAUUUGUAAUGAAUUUAAUAUAGUCAUUUAUACUACUCAAUUGGAAAUGGAAAUUACAGCUCAAUUUGUUAUUAUGUGAAUCUAACUGACUUGAUAAUGUGCUAACUACUUUUUGAACUAACUCUAACAACCUCUGUUGACGUGGGUUCAUCAGUUGACAAUUUGCGUAUCAAUACUCUCCUCCCUAAAAGUUCCUUGACCACAAGGAUCAAAAUGAGGAAACCUUGUCUUAAGAACAUUGAAGUACUCCUAUAUGACAUGGUCUGCUAACAGUAUAGACCAUUUAACUAACACUUGGACAACAGCUUUAAUCCCUCUUUUAACCAUACGCUUUUGUAAAAUAGCUUUAGGAUUAGGACAAUGGGGGUUAGCAAUAUCAACAGUAGGUGUGUAGGCAAUUUGAUCAAAUUAUGCAUAACACUUCUUAAGAGGGAUAUACGGACCAUUGGAUGGAUCUUUAUUGGGGGUGAGAAAAGCAAUGUAUAGGCAAUAGGUCUAACUCGUUUGAUCACCUGGAUGGACCAUAAUAUCUAGCAGCUAAUUUUAAAAUGGUUAAGAAGACAAAGUAGACUGUUUGUAGGGUUGUAUCUUGAGAUAUACCCAAUCUCCCAUUGAAAAAUUCCUAUUAGUCUUGUGUGAAUCGGCAUGUUGCGUCAUCCUUAGUUGAGCCCUGUGCAAGUGAUACUCAAGUAGUUGGAGCUUCAAUUCCCUUUAUAAUAAGGCAUUGUCGUUCUUUGCUAAAGCAGACUCACCUGGUAGGUACGGUAAAUGUAGUUGCGGAGGUCGACCAUAUAGACCCGCAUAGGGAGUGGUGUGAAUGACAGAAUGAUAUAAAGUGUUAUACCAUUAUUCAGCCAUAGGUAGCAAGAAUACGAAUCAGCAGUGUCUUCAUUGCAAACCUCAAAUAUAUUUCUAAGCAUUUGUCUAAAACUUCACUCUGAACAUCUUCAAUUGGACUCCAUGAAAUGAAAAGAGUUUCUGCCAAAUGAACUUGGGAAGCUGCAUCUCUGUCACUUGUCAUAGCUCUAGGGAGUCCAUGUACUCUAACAACCACAUCAAAGAAAGUCUAGGCUACUAACGGAGCAGUAUAAGGGUGCUUUAAGAGUAUGAAGUGAGCAUAUUUACUCAGCCUGUCAACAACCACUAAGAUCACCUCACGGACCUUAGACUUAGGCAAGCCAUCUAUAAAAUCCAUGAUUAUUAGAGACCACACCACCUUAUGUAUAGGCAAAGGCUGCAGCAGACCAGGAUAAGAUGCUAAGUCUGCUUUAUUCUUUUAGCAUAUAUCACAUCUUUGGAUGAAGGUCUUCACAUCAGCUCUUAUUCCCUUCCAAUAUAAUUGAGUUAGUAGUCGUUUGAGGGUAGCAUACACACCAGAAUGGUCAGGUGGAGUGUCAUAGUUUAAUGAUGUCAAUUCUUAGGUUCUGCACCUUCUUUGCCACUAACCUACCCUUCCUCCUUAGUUGGUUGUGAUUUCAAGUGAAUUGUGAGGGUGUAGUAUGGGUUAGACUUCUAUUUGAUAAGAGCUUUCAACUCAUUAUCAGAAGAGUAAUUGUGCACUAUAGCUUUAAGAAAGUCUGAAUAAGUUGUGGAUACCACUAAAGCCAUCAGUUCACUUCUUGAAACUCUUGACAAUGUGUCUGCAACUUUAUUCUCUCCUCCCUUCUUGUAUUCAAUAACAUAGUAAAAGGGAAUUAAUUUGGUCAACCACAUUAAUUGUGAUUUGGUUUGCAACUUUUGCUCCAUAAGAUACUUUAAAGCCCUCUAUUCAGUCCUUAUUAUGAACUUUUGUCAUAGAAAAUACUGGGGCCAUUUAGUGAUUGCAUGACCUAAGGCUAGCAGCUCCCUAUUAUAGACUGAAAGUGCAGCUUGCCUAGGAGACAAAGCCUUGUUGAUGCAGGCUGAUUAGACGGCCUUGUGAUAUUACGCUUAAAGUAUAUAUAUUUGUAUGGAUAUCACCUCAUAUCUUGCUUUUGUUAUGUGGAUUUAGGAUGUGAAUGUGUUGAUUUAUGUUAAUUUUAUGUGUUUUCAUAUGUAGGAAUGAUCCGGGAGUAAUUGAGGGUGCAAUGGGCAAAAUUAGAGCCAAAACGGACGAAAACAGGGAAAGGGCAUAUUUCAGCGCCAUAGGUGGUGCCUAGCCCUACCUGUGGCGCCAAAAACAGAAUGUAAAAUUUUACAGCGCCAUGGAGGGAGACUGGCGCUAGCCAGGGCGCCAAUAACGUGAGUUUUCUUCAAUUUCGCCUGGGAUAAGGUUAUUUCGGCCCAAGACCCAUCUAACUCGUAUAAAAGGAGUUCUAAACCCAUUUUUGGAGAUAUCUAAUAUAUUUUGAAGGGGGUCUAACAUACUUUGAAGGAGAAUUAAUGUGGAAGAACACACAGCACGCUUGGAGGAGGCUUCUACCUAGUUUUCUUAUCUUCUCUUUCUUUAAUCUCAUAGUUUAUUAGUUCUAGAGUUUUGGGUGCUACAUGAACGUUGUAGUUUGAAGCUUGAAUUGUUCUUAUUAUUUUAUUAUAUUGGUUUAUUUAUUCAAUCUUGCGCUUAAUUAUUUGAUUGCUUGAUGACCAAUUGAAUAUUAUCUACGAAUCUAUGAUUAAACUCGGGAGAGAGAAUUGUAGAUUGCAUAUAAGAUUGAGUAGAGCGAGAUCUUAACUCUGAGGGGGAGCGGAUUUGUAGUUUGGAUAGGAAUAUACCUAAUCGCCUUGCUUGGUCACUAUACAUGAAUUAUUAAUGCGUUCUUGUUAAUUCUAAUUCCAUAGGAAUGUAGGCACUAGAUUAGCUUGAAUAGGCGAGUUGUACUUCGGGAGAAGGCUACAAGCAAUAUUAACCCUAUCAACCAAUAAACCAGAUAAAUUAAUUAGACGAUUUAAGAGGAAAACUCAACAGAAUUGUUAGUCAACCCAUAGCUCUAGAAUAUUCUCUCCCAUUAAAUUCGUCUUUAAGUUUAUCGUUAUUUUCUUUAAUCUCUCUUUUUAUUACUCUAGUUUAAUCUUAGUAUAUUCAUAAUUCAGAAUUCACUUGAAUAGAUUAAUGGUUUGGUUUAAUUUAGUUGAUAGUUAAUCACAAGUCCAUGUGGGUUUGAUAUCUGGACUUACAAUCCUAUAUUACUUGUCGACCACGUAUACUUGCGUGUGCUUUUGGGAGCAACAAAUUUUUGGCGCCGUUGCCGGAGAUUUAGAAAUUAACUAUUAUACUAUAUUAGAUUUUCUUUUUGUCUACUCAAGUUUUUUUAUAUUUUUAUCUUAGUUUAAUAUUUUAUUAUCUUCAUUGGUAUGUCAUAUUGGAAUGAUAAUUGGUCGAAUAUUGGUUAUUCUUAUUAUAGUGAUCCUUGUCCAUAUUGUGGGGAUCACACUUGUGGCAAAAAUUGUGAAUCUCAAUCAUAUGGAUGAAAUGUUUGUAAUGUGUGUGGUUGUCAAGGUGGCCAUUGGGAUGGUUGUCCUAAUUCUUAUUAUCCUUCUCAGAACUCUUAUUAUGACGUUUCUAAUAAUAUUUGUGAGUUUGAUAGGGGUAAUGAAGUGCAUGAUAUGAAACCUGAUGCACACAUUAGGAAUAUUUUGAGGCAAGUAGCAGAGCAACAAGAUGAACUCAAAAAAGAUAUGAAGAAUGAGGGCAACAAUCACAAGAAUGAAGGCCGAUAUGGAAGAACUAAAUGAAGAUAGUGAGUACCAACAAUAGAAACAUUUUGAAGAAGCAGAUAUAGUGAGCCAAUCAUGGUUAGAGGAACAAGCUCAACUGAUAAAUCUCAAGAGUUUCUCCAUGAUCGUCUUUCAAAUAUGACAGAACAACUAAUAGAAAGAAGAACUAAGCACAGACAAGAGAUAGACCAAUUUGGCUCAGAUAUCCAUGACCUGUAGGCUCAACUGAAUAAAAAGGUUGAGGUGUUCUGAUGCCCUAUAACCAAUUUUUGUGGAUAAUGGCCAUCUUGUGGAGUAGAAAGAGGAAUUCAACCUAUUCGACCAAAUUAUUAAUGACCCAAUGUUGACAAAAAGUGCAACAUUGAGGAUGUAAAAAAUAAUGCAAUUUUGGAGUUCGAGCGUAUUGGACCUCAUUCUAAACACUUUCCAACUUUGUCUUUGGUUGUUGACAUAGAAAGUGAACCAUUCGAGCAUAUGGAGAGUCAAUAAAUGAGGAACAAAACAUUUAUAUUCUGAAAGAAAAAUUGAUGCGAAAUUAGGGGCGCAAUUUAUAUCCUCAAAGUGGAAGGAAAAGUGGUGAAAGUGAUGGAGUUAUGCCACGACUAUAAACCUUUGUGGAGGGAGAUUUUGAACCUUUUUGGUGUUCAAUGGGUGAUGCCAAGCACUGUAAAGGAAAUGCUAUAUAGCUGGGCCGGUUUCUGUAGGAGAAGAACGCAAAAGGCGUGGAAGUUAGCCCCAUUAGCUCUCAUGUGGAUAGUUUGGGGGGAGAGAAAUAGGAGAGGUUUUGAGGGGAUUGAGUCUCCUUUUUUACAUCUUAAGAAUAGUCUUUUAUCUUUGAUCGCUUUUUGGUGCACUCAUAUAGCCCCUAUUUGUAUAGAAUAUUGGCUGUCUUUUGUAGAGAAUCAUGCUCUGAUGUAAAUUCUCUACUUUUUGGUAUCCUUCUUGCUUAUGAGAGUUCUCUCCCUUUUGAUUAAUACAAUUUAACUUAUCAUAAAAAGAUUGUAGAAGCCUCUACUUCUUCUAUCCCUUUAAACAAACCUUACGAGAUCCCUAAAGCUUUUACAAAGGAACUCCAUAUAUACCAAUCUACAGAUUCUUAUAAACUCUAUGAUCUAAAACCUAGGAUCCUAGAAAUUGGAAAAACUUUGAUUAUUCCCGACGCCCCCUCUAAAGGAACCGGAAUGCCACCUCAAAAGCCUCUGGACUACAUGUUCUUAGAGAAGUUGAUACUGAUGAAGAAACGGAUUCCCAUACCAACCAACUUCAUGACAAUCCUUCUCGAGAAGUUGCCCCUGUAGACUUCAACUGAUGUAAACCCCAAAAAUUCUAUUAUUCUCGAGCUACCCAUCCAGAUGUAGUCUUAGAAAAAAACCAAUGUCAACCCCAAAAAUUCUACGGUUAAGGGUCGGAUUUGCCCUUGUACUAUUCAAAAUAAGCUACAUUUAUCCUCCGUUUGAAUUCUUUAACAAAUAUACCCCCACCGUUACACAUUCGGGCUACAUAUACCCUUCCACCGUUAAAACUUGUUUCCUCAAUAUUUUUAAACACAUGGCAGUCUUACAUUGGUCCAAAAUUAGCCCACCCAAUCAAUGUAAACCCGCCCGACCCAAACGGUUAACCCCUCAUUAGUCUAUCUAGUUUAGCAUGAAUUAGUCCUUUUAGAUUAUGUUUAUUUUUAUUAUGACUUCUUAAUUAACAAUAUUUAUAGUAUAUAAUUUUAUUAUUUUUUAUUGUUGAAUAUUUUAGGAUAAUGUCUGAGUCAUGACAUAUCUCAUAUUUUGUAUUAUUUUCUUGAAAAAUACUUUAUAUAGUUGUAUCUUACAAGGAUUAAAGAAAUAUUUUGAGCAUACAUUAUAUAUUUUGUUCUACGAAGAUUUUACCGGAAAAAAUUCGAAAAAACCCGGAUAACCCGAAAACCCGAAAAAACCCGAGAAAAAUCGAGAUUGAAAAACCCUAAUUUAUUGGUUUGGUUUGGUCUUUAGAUUUAAUAACCCGACACAAUUGGUUUGGUUUGGUAAUUGUAAAAUCCGAACCAACCCCGGUCUAUAUACACCCCUAGCCGCAUGUACCACCUACUUUACAAUUUAACUCAUAUAUAAGCUAUAUAUUAUUAGUGUAUCUUAACUCUCUUUAGGUAUUAUUAUAACUUGGUUAUUGGUACUCGACUAAUUUAAAUUCGCAUUACAUAUGUCCCAUUAAAUACAUCCUUUCAUUCUCGGAACCUCAUAUUAUAGAGGCAGAGCCAAAAUUUAAAGUUAAUAGGUUCGGAAUUCUAAUCUCUUUAAGUUACUUGGUUCUAAAUGAUAAAUUCGUACAUUUUUAAUAAAUUUCUUUAUACAAAUACAAGGGUUAGACCGAAGUUAUCGGGUUUGCCGAACCGGUAAAAGGCAUGCUAGCUCCGCCUAUGUCGCGUUACGUAAAGCCAAUUAAAGGGAGAAGGCUAUCAAUUUAAGAGUCUAAACUGGUCAAACAGUACAUAUAAGCCCGUGUACACACUCGUAACCUUGUAUACAUGUCUUCCACAAUCAACCGUAAUCCUAAGGAGUAACUUUUCUACACAAAGUUAUGCAAGAUACGUCCCGCAAACAAGCUAAAUCAAUCUGCUAAUAAGCUCUUCCCGUGUAAAUCCACUUCGACAUUGCUCGAAUCUAUUCAAAAUAACUUAAUAUCAUAAAUAAUGAAAAUUCUAUUAUUCUAGAGCUACCCAUCCAGAUGUAGUCUUCGGAAAAAAAAAACCAAUGUCAUGCAGCACAAUUACAAUGCGAAUAAUAUCUACGAAUGGAUCAUAGUAGCCACUGCAUAUAGAACUUCCCGUAAUUGUUCUAACCAGCUUACUAUACAUGUUUUAGUAGCAUGAUUUACAGGUCAACUCAAAGGUUGGUGGGAUACCCAUCUUAGUGAAGAAGAUAAACGUAAAAUCUUCCCAGCUGUCCGAGUCAAUUCAACGGGAGAACCAAUCUUUAGAGAUGGCCAAACCAUUCCUGAGUCUACCAAUACCCUUAUUUACACCAUUCUCAAGACAUUCAUAGGAAGUCCGGGUAUCUUCAAGAAAGAUCCUCUGAGAUACUCAACAAUAUCAAGUCUAAAGCCCUUUCCGAUUUUAGGUGGUAUAAGGAUUCUUUUCCCACUAAAAUCUACGAAAGACCAGAUGGUAACCUCCCAUAGACCAACACAUAAAUUAACUUAUUAUGAUAUGCAAUUUUCUAACAUAACAGGAACACCGAACAACUUUUUUAAUCUAGAACUAACACCAAUCGCUUGAAGAACAAAAAUGAAUGAACUGAGAGAGGGUAGAAAGGCGGCAGUGGUGGAAGAAGAAGGCAACAGUGGGGAGGAAGAGGGGNNNNNNNNNNNNNNNNNNNNNNNNNNNNNNNNNNNNNNNNNNNNNNNNNNNNNNNNNNNNNNNNNNNNNNNNNNNNNNNNNNNNNNNNNNNNNNNNNNNNNNNNNNNNNNNNNNNNNNNNNNNNNNNNNNNNNNNNNNNNNNNNNNNNNNNNNNNNNNNNNNNNNNNNNNNNNNNNNNNNNNNNNNNNNNNNNNNNNNNNGGUUAGCUGGGGAUGUUUCCGCUUUAGCAAAUUAUCAAUAAUUAUAGUUGGACCACUUUGUAUGUUUUAAAAUUUUGGAGUUCCCUUUUAACUUGUCUAUUUCAUUACUUAAUGGUGAUUAGAUUAAUUAUCGCUAAUCCUAGAAGGAGUCUAUAAUAUAGAGUUGUAUCUGGUUCUUUUAUUGAGUUCCCUCUAUAUAUUGAAGGAUUAAAAGUUGGUAUGUGGUUCCUUUAUUGAGUCUUGGUCAAAGGCCUUUUAAUUAGAGGACCCAGGUGUUUGGAACCAAAAUUGGACCUUUAUUUGUUAGGUUUUAAGUCAGCCCGGAAGUUUUUAAAAAUUCAAAUAGGCCAUCGCCUCCACUUAAACUCAUUCUUGGCAUUUUCAUUGGUUGAAAUCAAAGGGAAAAGAAAUUUGGGUCUAUUCCCUUAUCUGGAACUGGCAGGGCUCCGUUUAACUAAUUUUGCCUUCCAAGUUCUUAGGGAAAAAUGAUUGUCAUUUUAGGCAGACUUUUGGCUGUUUUCUGAAGGUUUUGUGUAAAUUGUUGUUGUGAAUAUUGUCAUAUUGUGCCUGAUUGAAGUCUACAUGUAGGCAUUACUUGAUUGUCUCUGCUGUCACAAACUUGCUGGUGAAUCUCAUUGGUGUUUGGUUCUUCAGGAACUAUGCACGUAUUAAUCUUGGUAAGCCUCCUGCUUGCGAUGAAAAUUCUAUUGCUCCCUCCUCCAGAGUGUGUGUGUGUAUGAGAGAGAUUCUCAUGUAUCAUAGAUUAUCCUUUCCUCUUGGAAAUUAAGCAUGGUCGAGGCACAUUGCGAGAAGUGGAUAAGUUAAGAGCUAAGUUUUCUCUUUGAAGUAUUUAACCAAUCUAGAAUUAACAUACAAACCCAGGGAUAACUUUUUAAUGAUGUUAGUCCUUGACGAAAGACAAUGCUAGCUUAAAAGUAAAGCUUCAAAUCCUUUUUGACUAAAGAUGUCUACAUCAGCAGAAAGAAAGUCUGCAGGAGUCUUAAUAUUUUGGUACAUUCCAAAACAAAGAACAAAAAAUAGUUUAAGCAGAGAUUCACCAGAAUACUUGUGCACUAUUUUCCGAAAUACCUAAUUAUAAAUUUCCAAAAAUGAUAAUAGCAGUCUAUGUUUCACAAUAAUGUGAUAUCAGUUAAGCAAGCCUAUUGGGGAGAAAUUUUAAGAUUCAUUUGUUUCAAUUGUCCUAUGGUUGAGCAGAAUCUAGAGUGUAUAUGGGUUUCAAUAUUUUAAGAAGCCUUUUAACACAAUUGAUACAAGUAUGAUACAUAUGUGAUACACAGUGCGAUACGCAUCCUUUUUUUUCAUGUUCAGCUUUUAUUUCGAAUUUUCAAUCAAACUACCUCAAAACUUUACCAAAUCAUCCCAAAAUUGAGAUUCAAGCUUCUUAAAUUGUACCCAAUCUAUUCUAAUAUCACCCACUUAAACCAAAGCAAAAUUUUGAUUUUUUACUACAAAUAACUAAUUGAUUAAUUUAACUAAUAUUAAUAAUAUUUUAUCAACUGAUCAAUUUUCAUAGCUGAUAAUUUCCCUAAAUUCUAUAUCGGUUUGCACAAGUCCUGGCUCCGGCCUCCUUCAUAGAGAAAAGCCAAUUUAACUAUAACUUGAUUUUUAGAAUAAAUAUUAUUCUACUGUCCCUUUAGCAACAAAUAGUUUAAGGCACCACUAGAUUUGACUACCGAAACUGGAAGAAUCAAUAUUUGCUACAAACCCCCCACACCCCACCCCCCCCUUUUUUUAAUUUAAAAAAGAAGAUAAAUCGACAAUCUAUAAUAUUGUGAUAUGGGGGUAUUGAAAACUGUAAUUGACUUGCCAUCGGUAUAGCAGUUGGGAAUCUGUCCGAACGUAUCACUUAAGAUGCAUUUACACACUAAAGUUGCAAUAUAUAUAUAUAGGCUUUAAAGCAGCAGGAAAGUUAACAAGGAAAGCACAAGCAGUUUAUCCUUUAUGAUAUAUUGGAAAGAGACUUCUUUUAUUCAGGCACUUGAAACAGGUUGUUUCUUUUCCAUCUGACUGUUCAGGAACUGGAGGACCGACAGCCGCUGCAAGCAGACAGAGAAAGGGCACAAUCAUUUUGCUGACUAUAUUCAAAGUGGAUUUCAAUCGACGCGAAAUGAAGAAGAAAUGAGUAAUACCCUUUGUUCAAGGCUAGCUUCUUCAGGAUUUAGUUCUAACGACUGUAACAUUUUUAUGGCUUCUUCAAAUCCAUCGAUUGCUGCAUCCUCAUUCCCAAGAUUCCGAUCAACAUCAGCAACUUUUGCAAGGGAAGUAGCUAUGUCGAUGAUCUGUAGUAUGAAAUUAGGAAAGAUAAUUAGUGAAGCAACAGAAGGCCAACCCAUCAAGUGUCAACCAAAGAAAAAAGGGAAUCAGGUCUACAAGAAAAUCAGCAUCUCUCAUCGAUGAUCUGUGGUAUGAAAUUAUGAAAGAGAAUUAAGUGAAGCAAGAUUUUUUACCAAAGAAAAAAGGGAAUUAAGUCUGCAACAAAAUCAGCAUCUCUUGUUUUUGCACAUAAAAAGUACUGAAUUUUCCUAAAUUUAAGCUAAAUUUUAAAGAAAGAGAACUCUGCCAAAAAUUGUCCUAUUCAACAUAAAGAUCUUUUACCCCUCAUAAAGGAUGGCAAAAUAGAACUUUUUCCAGCACAAGCAUGCCAGAAGAAUCAAGUAUGCUGAAGAUUAAAGCGCUUCAUAGACCCUUAUAUUGAGAGUAGGGCAAACAUGUCAAAUCAGAUACCCUUGCAGUAUAAAAAUUUUCUGAGACCGCCCGAUUAUAUUCUCCAUUUUUUUUCUAAUUUUCCGUAUUCUCGCUCUUCUUCUCUUCCAUUUCUUUUUAUUCCUUUUUACCAACACAUAACCGAAUCAACAAUUGUAGCCAAAGUGUCAAACAGAGAGUUCUUAUUGAAAAGCGGAUGAAAGUUACUAAGGAAUAGAAGUGAUUUUAAACAACUUAAGCAGAUCCGUAUGAUCAAAGCCAAAUGUCAGACGAAGAAACUAAAGAAUGGGAAAUCCAUAUAGCCGAAAUGCUGCAGUAAAAGCAUGAAAGACAUAGGGUUCUAUUAAUCUAAUAAAAUGGCUGUUAAACUUCCUUGUGGAGAAAGCUGAACUCUGGUUCUGGAAAGGAAUUUAACUUGUUGGGGCUUGGGUCCAUAAAAGUUACAAUCUGAGUUAAAGGGCUAGUGGAAAUGGAGGGUUCUCAACAUGGAUUUCAAUAGCCUAUGAGGAGCAAAUUGAACUCAACAAGUCCAGAAUCAUUGCUGUUAAAGAAUCUAUGUUUGAAAACCGACAAAUCCAGCUUCGAAACUCUGUGGAUAAUUGCUUGUCCCUCUAACCUUCUCCACUUAAAUACCAGACUAAGUCAUAAGAUAGGACUCGAAGUCGUGACAUCUUGCUGAAAUAGCAUGAAAAGGAUCAUUCCAAGUUACAUUGGUGGGUUUAAAAAUCUAAGAAGAAUUUACUUGUAAUUCAUAGCACUACUACAGGGAUCAGCAAUUGCUUCCUCCCGUUCAAUAUCAACUAGGCGCUCUGGAAUAAAGGCAUAUAUUAAAUCCUGUUUUGUCUGUUUCAGUUAUUCAAGGAUACGGAUGAUUGAUUUACAAUAUCUGUAUGUUAUUUAUAAUUUGUGUUUUUGAUACAGUGAUAUUACCUAGAUAGAUUACAAGAUUUAUCAAAUUCAUAAUUGUGAGGAAGUACGGAGGAAAUAUUAUUGAUUAAUAUUCUAUGUUACCGUGAGUAAUAUUAUAUGUAUUCAUAACACAUAACCUACUUCUAUUACAUAAAGGACUGGGACUUCAUUACAUAUAUUCACAUAACUAUUCUAACACUCCUCAAACUGGUGCAUAUAAAUCAUAUGUACCGAGCUUGUUACAUAUGUAGUUAAUACGAGGACCAGUAAGGGACCUGGUGAAAAUAUCUGCAAGCUGAACAUUCGACUUCAUAAACUAUGUAGCAAUAUCUUUCGAGAGUAUAUUUUAUCUAACAAAGUGACAAUCAAUCUCAAUGUGUUUAGUUCUUCAUGCAACACUCGAUUUGACACAAUAUGAAGAGCAGCUUGAUUAUCACACACAAAUCCCAUCUGACUAAUCUCACCAAAUUUCAACUCCUUGAGCAACUGUUUGAUCUAAAUUAGCUCACAUGGCGACAUAGCCAUUGCACGAUAUUCUGCUUCUGCACCAGACCGAGCAACUGCAUUCUGUUUCUUGCUCUUCCAAGACACCAAGUUUCCUCCUAAUACGACACAAUAUCCAAAUGUAGAACGUCUAUCAAAAGGUGAUCCUGUCCAAUCAGCAUCUGAGUAACCAACGAUCUGCUCAUGGCCCGAUCCUCAAACAAUAAACCUUGCCUGGAGCUAAUGUUAUAUACCGAAAAAUGCGGGCAACUGCAUCCCAAUGACUAUUACAGGGAGAACCAAUAAACUGAACCACAAUACUCACAGGAAAGGAAAUGCCAGGUCUAUUCACUGUGAGGUAAUUUAAUUUACCAACUAACCGUCUAUAUCUUGGAGGAUCGCUAAGAGACUCCCCCUGUCCUGGCAGAAGUUUAAAACUCGGAUCCAUCGGAGUGUCAACAGGUCUACAACCUGUCAUUCCUGUUUUCGUUGUGAGAUUAUAAUAUUUGAGCUAGACUGAGCGACCUCAAUACCCAGAAAAUACUUUAAUCUGCCCAGAUCGUUCGUCUGAAAGUACUGAAAGAGAUGUUGAUUCAACAUACUAAUACUAUCCUGAUCAUUGCCAGUAAUAACAAUAUCGUCAACAUAAAUGACGAGAUAAAUACACAGAUUUGAAGCAGAAUGCCGAUAAAACAUAGAGUGAUCAGCUUCACUUCGAGUCAUGCCAAACGCCUAAAUGACUAUGCUGAACUUACCAAACCAAACUCGAGGAGACUGCUUUAGACCAUAAAGGAACCGGCGCAACCAACAUACAAGGCCACCAGACUCCCCCCUGAGCAACAAAACCAGGUGGUUGCUCCAUAUAAACCUCAUCCUCAAGGUCAUCGUGAAGAAAAACAUUCUUAAUGUCCAACUGAUAGAGAGGACAAUGCCGAACAACAGCCUUGGAUAGAAAAAGGCGGACUGAUGCUAUUUUAGCCACGGGAGAGAAAGUAUCACUGUAAUCAAGUCCAAAUAUCUGAGUAUACCCUUUGGCAACAAGACGAGUCAUAAGUCGGUCAACUUGGCCAUUUGGACCAACUUUGACUGCAUACAUCCAAUGACAAUCAACAGUCAAUUUACCCGAAGAAAGAGGAACAAGCACCCCUUAAUAUUUUGGUACAUUCCAAAGCAUCUCAUCAAUCAUAGCCUGUCGCCACCCUGGAUGAGAUAGUGCUUCACCUGUAGACUUAAGGAUAGAAACAGAGGACAAAGAUGAUACAAAUGCACAAGGGAAUGAUGACAGACAAUGGUAACUUAAACGGACAUAAUGGGGAUAAUAAUUAAGUGUAGAUCGUAUACAUGUUCGUAGUGCAAUCGGUUGACUAAGAUGAAACAAGUCUGUCGUAUUAGCAGGGUCAGGUGCAACGCGGCCCUGAUGUUGAGUGCGGACGACGAUAAUAAGUCAGGAGUGGUGGAGCUGUAAAAGGUUGAACUGGAUUAGAUGGUGUUACUGGAGCUAUAAUUGGUGGCACUGGACUAGGUGGUAGUACUGAAGCUAUACGUGGUGGAGCUGCAACUAGAGCUAUGAAGGAAGAUGAAUAGGAGAUAGUGACUGAAUCUCCAAAAGACGGAACUAGUAGCACCUUAGAGAUAUCUAAGUGAUUACCUGGACCUGUGAAGUAUGAUUGGAUUUCAAAGAAGGUGACAUGAACAGACAUGGGAUACAGUUGGAGGUCAGGAAAGUAGCAUCGAUAUCCCUUUUUAUUUUGUCAAAAGCUUUCUGGCGGGCUUCAUCCCAUUUUCUUGCUAAAUUUUUAUUUAUAAAUUUGUGUAUCGACUCACAAGUGGUUAUACAAGAGAAAGUCAAAGUUUGAUGGGACUUGCGCCGCGGGAAAUCCUUCUUUAUACAAGUUCUUGGACGAGGUUUUUGAAUAUAACUUUGAUAGGCGAGAGGUGUAAGCACUGCGAGGUGUGAAGCGAUCUCGUACUAAACAAGUAUAGGCUGGAGGACUGAUACUAUAAGUAGGACAAAGGCCUUCAAAGAGAAAUGAAAGGAUUUUUUUAGCAUUUUUCCACUUUAUCCAAGGAAUCCCUUUCUUGGCAUUUGUAUUUGAGAGAGAGAGCUAUGCUUAGGUCAGUUCCUUCAGUCAACUUUUUUGGUAAGCCAAAAGUGAACUUUAGGUUCUUGAGUAACCUAGAAAUACACACUUAAGAGUAUGAGGAGCUAACUUAUCUUUUCAUGGAAUAAGGUUAUGAACAAAACAUAUACUCCCAAAAACACGGCAUGGAAGAGAGAAAAAAAAGUAAGUGGAAAAAGAAGACAAAGAAUGGAACUUGAUUCUGGAUAACUGAAGAUGGCAUACGAUUAAUACAACAACAAAAUGUAAGAACUGCAUCCCCCAAAAACACGGCGGAACAUGAGAUUGUAUGAGUAGGGUACGAGCAGUUUCAAUAAAAUAUCUAUUCUUUCUUUCAGCUACUCCAUUUUGUUGGGAUGUGUACGGAUAAGAUGUUUGAUGAAUAACCCCAUGGGAGUUCAUAUACUGUUGAAAUGGGAAAGAUAAAUACUCUAGGGCAUUAUCACUACAAAAUGUGCAGAUAGAAACCCCAAAUUGAUUUUGAAUUUAGCGUGGAAGAUUUGAAAAAUAGAAAACAACUCAGAUCAAUUAUUCACCAAAAAUAUCCAACGUAGCGGAAUCCCAAAGUAGCGGAAUCCCAAGGUAGAACUGACCAGACUAGGACCCCAAAUAUCUGAAUGGACUAAAGUAAAAGGUGACUCUGCUCGAUUAUCAAGAUGCUGCGGGAAAUGGGAGCGGGUAUGCUUAUCGAGCUGACACGACUCACUCUAGAGUGGAUAAGCUGACACGACUCACUCUAGAGUGGAUAAGUGAGAUAAGCUAGGUACCUUUUUACCGAACUGACAUGACUCACACUCUAGAGUGGACAAGUGAGAUAAGCAAGGUACCAUUUUCUAAAGUUCUGACAAACUGGGAUGUCCCAACCGUUUAUGUAAUAACUUUGGUGAAUCAAUAACGGGACAAGUUGUUGAAGGAAGACAAGAAGUGAGUCCAUGUAAUUUUACAAGGAUAAGGUAAUAAAAUCCAUCUAAUUCACAUCUAAUACCAAUGAUCUGCCCCGUACUACGUUCCUAUAUAAAAAUAAGGUCAUCAAGAAAUAAAACAACAAAUUUAAAUGAUUUGUCUAAGCGACUAAUGACUAUAAGAUUAGGACUACCGGGAACAUAAAGACCCGAGUCUAAAGGUAAGGAAGGAAGUGGACUUGCUUGACCUAUUGCAGUUGCCAUGGUUUGAGACUCAUUGGCCAUUGUGACUGUUGGAAGAGAUUGAGAAUAUGAAAUACUAGUGAAAAGAGAUUUAUUACCAAAAAUAUGAUCAUAUGCACUUGAAUCAAUGACCCAAAACUCAGAAGUUGAAGACUGGGAGACACAAGUCGCGUUACUAUCUGUUGGAACAAUUGAAGCUAAUCCUGAAUAUGUCUGUUUAUAUGCUUUGUACUGAAGGAAUUCAAUAUAAUCUGGUAAAGAAACCAUCUGGAUUGGAUUCAACGAAUUGGAUCCGAUGGAUUGUGAGUUAACGGCUUCUGAUACGAAUGCCAUUAUAAUGUUGCACCGAGAAAUAUGAUCAGAUGCACCUAAAUCAAUGACCCAAAACUCAGAGGUUGAAGAUUGGGAAACAUAAGUCAUGCUACUAUCUGUUGGAACAAUGGAGGCUAAUUCUAAAGAUGUAUGUUUACGUGCUUUAUACUGAAGGAACUCAAUAUAAUCCAGUAAAGAGACCAUUUGGAUUAGAUUUAAUGCAUUGGAGCCAACGGAUUGUGAGUCUAAGGCUUCUAAUACGAAUGACGUUAUAAUGUUCAUGCUGGAAAAAUUUGAAACCUUUCUGGAAAUUACUAUUAACACUAGAAAAAUCAGAAAAUUUUCUGAAAAUCACUAUUCACGCCAGAAAAAUAUAAAGUGGUCGGAAUUUAGUUUAAAACGGAUGGGUAGGCUUGGAAUUUCAAGGCGAUUACACUGUCCAAAAGAAAAUUUUCAAAUUCUGGCCGGAACAGCCGGAACAGCCCUCACGCGUCGUCGGCGGCAGAACUCUGGCAAGGGCGUGAGUGGGAAUUUUCAGGUGACUUUUUCUGGGGAUUGUUCCCCUAUCUCUUCGGAACCUUUUGGUGUUGUUGGAUUUCGCACAACACCGAUAAUUAGUGACUUUGACACAAAUAGUCACUUAGGUUACCGGAAAAUCGCAUAGUGACUGAGUUCUUUCUUCUCGGAUGUCGCUGGAAUGACGCACAACGAUCUCUUCUCACCAAAGCUCUGAUACCAUGUGAGGAAGCACGAGAGAAAAUAUUAUUGAUGAAUAUUCUAUGUUACAAUGAGCCAUAUUUACAUGUAUUAACACAUAACUUACUCCUAUUACAUAAGGGACUAGGAUUAAUUAUAUAUAUUCACAUAACUAUUCUAACAAUAAUAUUUAAUAUAUCUUAAGCAUGUCCCAGUAGUGUUUGAUUGGUGGCCAUAUUUGGAUGGAAACAUGCAGCCCAAAAGUAGGUUUCCAUGCUUUCUAGCGAAUGGCUCUAUCUCAAUUCCCCGGCUAUCAUAGUGGAAUCUUGAAUAUUUUUUUUUAGAUAAAGUAUGGCUCUAUCUUGGUUCUCAUAUCACAAAAACGCUCUCCGGACAAAAGUUAAUGAUACAAGAUCAUAUCAAGGCAGUUACCAAAAACAAUUCUGAAUAGUUUGCAUUCUGAUAGGAACCAAAGAGAGGAAUUCACUAAGCUGACUCAUAGUUUUCUUUUUCAUUAAUUAAAUUAAACCUUUUUGGCUUAUUCACUUGCCCAUGUCAACAAAUAGAUGACUAUGUAAAUCAGAUCAUUUCACUUAGAUGUUCUCUGUAAGCUCAAUCAAUGGUAUGGUGUCACCAUUUUGCAUCGACAGCUCUUUUGUUUCAGCUUUCCCAACAUCGUAAAUGAAGAUCUUUAGAUAAUCUCUAGACAUAUAUCUCAUCACAAGAUUCAGAAGACCUGCCAAACUAUGUUUUUUUGCCUCCCUCAAUUGCAGCAAUUCAGAAAUCAGUUAACUGUUUUCUUUACGGUAUCAUAUGAGAAGAGAAGCUUCCGACUAAAACAAUUGAUAUUCUCCAUAUAUCACCCUUUCUCAAAACACAACAUGAUACCUAUGACAAUCGGAGACCUCAUUCUCCCCUAUUAGAGCCAAUCAGCCAAGAUCAGUUUAGGACUUCACUUUUGUACCUCAACCUACUAAGGGCAUUAUAUCAUUUAUUCAACCUUUUUUUUGGCUGAUGAAGAGUAUUUAUUCAACUUAAACGGUAAGAAAUAUCCUUAUGCAAUCACAGUCCAAUCACCUAAAACCCGCUUUGAGCAUGUGUUUGCUUACUUUAGUUACAGAUGAGCUAACAGGUAGUUAUUUGCAGAUGUAUUUAGUUAAUUGACGAAACUACUGAGGAAGUCAAUAAAUAGCAAGAAUUAUGAAGUACUCUAGACAGUAAACUUUUAACGACAUAGAAUAUAUGAAUAGCAAGUUUAGCUUCCAUAAGAAGAAAGAUGGUGAAGUGACAUAAACCAGAAUUGCAAUAACUAUAAAAACUCAAAUUUCCACAAAAAGAAAAGGCGUGAGAGAAGAAGAUGUAAAAAAAAAUUAAAAUGAGAUGCUAAAAUAGAGGACUGCUACAAGAUGCAAUGAGAUAGGGAGGCAGCUAACAAAGUAAAAAAUACGUCUUGUAGAAGUUGGAACAAUUCUGAGACUACUAGUGUCAUAUAGGAGCUAAUUGUUGGGUCACUUAUAGACAAACAUAUCUGCAUAAUGAGUUUCAGCAAAAAUGGGGAUAGUAAGAUGGAUGAGCGGUUAAAAAAUAUUGAACGACUAUAAACGAUCAUCUCCAGAGAUCCCAAAUAGCACAAACAGGGGAAAAAGCAAGAGAAGAUCGUCGAGAUGGUUAUGUCGAAAUGACUAUGAUGACUGAAGGUGCUAAAAGGGGAUGAAGCAGACCUAUAAUGACACUAAUGGAAUUUCUUUUUAAAAUAAGGUAAAUAAUUUUAUUAACAUUGGGAAGAACUCCCACAUACCAGAUGUAUACCAAAUGAUAGAGAAUCUACAACAAAAUAUGAUUCUCUACCAAAGACACCCAGUCAUCCGUAAAACACGAAUCUUAAGGGUGCACCAAAAAGUAAUUAAAGACAAAAUGCUAUUCCUUAGAUGUACAAAAUCGUUUUCAACCUCAUCAAAUGUUCUCCUAUUUCUCUCUCCAUAAUACCCACAUAAGAACUAGCUUUGCAACUUCCCAUUCCCUACGUUUUCUUCCCCUAAUGCAAGUUACGUAAAAGACCUGCAACCUCUUGGAGUCAAUGCGGACUUAGCUAAUUAAAAAACGUAAUGGGGCCUAUGAGUUCGUAUAGACAAUGCCAACUAAUUCAGAUGAACACUUAGUUAUUAUAAUUAUAUUUAUAUCAGAUUCAUGUCUGCUAAGGCUUUCUAGUUGGAUUAUAUACAUAUCUGUGAAUGAAUAAGUGCGAGAUUUUGUUGUUCUUAGUGCUGCUACUAAUACUUGACCAAUCCCAAUCAGUAUCAAAUGCAUGAAACUUCAUUUAACUGUAGCAAAUCAUGUUAUCCAGAUACAAUUAUCAUCAAUUGCCACCUGCAAGAGAGCACAUAAAUGUUCUUUUACUGAUAAAUGAUAACUGAAGUUCUUUAAGGUCCUCUGGCAAAGAAAGAGCCGUCGUGUUAUCAAUAUCAAACUACAUGUCUCCAAAUGAGACAACAAACAGAGAUGAUUUAUUGGGUAGUAAAUCUACCACCAGCACCAGCAGGGGCUGAGCCACACACAGCUCAUGCAGAGCUUUCACAUGAAUUUCAGAUCUGGGCAACCAUCUUGCCCUUCUGCUCAAAAUAACAAAAUGCAUCAUCGACCCCACACUCCCCAAACUUCAGACAGAAAUAGCUCAUACAUAGCUCGAACAACCUCACAAUUUCCAUUUAUUUCCCCUUUUAACCUUUAAAAUAAAAAAAGAAAAAAGAAACAGAAAAGAUAUAUCGUGGUCAUUCCCCUCUCCGCACCAGAAACCUUCAGCCGGUAACAGCUAAACGACCAAAUAUACGCGCAGAAAAAGGUGGGGUUUGUUCAAUACAUCAACGGGAAGACCACUAGAUGUAAAGAAUUGAAAAGAUGCCUAAAGAAACUUCCGAUGUCUAAAGAUCCCACAUUUUGUGGGGAAUAAUAUGAUUAUUUGUGAUAUCCCACGUCAUACAUGUUCUUUGACAAAUAAAUACACUUCCAAAAUCACAUUAUUGUUCGGCUGUGCUCAUCAAAACAAAAAGUUUCGCUAACCUGAGAUGGUGCAGCAGACUGUUGUUUGAUGGCAUUGCGGCGAACAUCCAACGCCUUAAAGUAAUGUGAUCUUGCAGCUUCUAAAUCAUCAUCAUAGUACUUAAGAUCUCCAAUUUUAUUAAGCGAAACAGAAAGAGUAUGCGAGAUCUGCAAACAUCCGCAAGGAAUUAAGGAAAAAAGUCAUGUAUGAGGAAGCAUGUUAUCUAUCAUCAUGCUUUAGAGUUAGAGAGCUCAGAUUACGUAUACAGAUAGAAGUACAUAUCAAUUCACGACAAUUACCUCUAAAUCAUCUUUGGGUACUUUCACAAGGAAAUUGACACUCUCUUCAAAGUAAGUGACUGCAGAUGCAGCAUCCCCUGUUGCUCGACUGCAGUACAACUCAAGUUAUUAUUUUUUUUUUUAAAGUGCAAAACUUCUAAAGAUCGGUUAAAGCUUUUCUACCCAUGAUCACCAGAAGAUCUUGUUAAAUGACCAAAGAAAGGGUAAAGUUGAUAACGAGGAUAGGGACACACCAGCAAUCACCAAGCAUACCAAGGACCGCUCCAAGCUGUGAGCACAACUCUGAUGUGUUUCCCUGCCUUUCUAGCUGUCCUCGAAUAUCAUCUGCGCACAUAGUAAGUCUUGAUUUUGCACUGUCGAUAUUAUUGGCACGAAAAGCCUGCAGGUUAAAAAGCCAACAGUUACCCGAAGUGGUGAAACAAUUCAUUAGCUAAACGUCAGAGCUUGCAGGAAAGAGAAACAACAGGAUAAUAUCAGCUUGGCAACUGGUGAAGAAAUGUCAAGCUAUUAUUUAACUCUAAAGAAUGACAAGAUAUUUAAAAGUUACCCGCAUGGCUUGUUGCACCAGGAAAGCUCCCCGUUCUAGUGAUACAUCCUCGUACAUAACAGUUUGUCUCUCUUCUGCUUCUUUUUCAUCACCAUUAACCUGAGACCUCUUAAUCCUCGCAUGCCCUUCAAUAAAGCGAUCAACAACAUUCUGAAGAUUCAUAUCAUUCUCUAUCUUUUCAAUAUCAGCACCACAUAAAGGACAGUCCAUAAAGCGUGAGAGACAUGCCCUGUUUUACCAAACAAUAACCAUCAGGCGGCAGUAUUGAAAAGUGACCAGAUAAAAAAAUUUCCCUUUCUUGAUUUUAAAGAGCGAAAUGACAUGCAUGCAUGGAAGUAGAAAGAUAGUAAGAGGUCUCAAUUUUCACUUACUUGCAGAAUACAUGAGAACAGGGCACACAUCUGCUGCAAUCAUAAAGAAGUGCCUGACAAAUCAUGCAGCUAAAAGGACCCAGCUUAAAUGCUUGAGAAUCAUAUCCAAAGGGGCAUUUAGGUGACACAGUUGCAGAUGCUCCAGACUCUUGUUUAGCCUUGUUAUCCUGGCCAUAUCCAAAGGGGCAUUGAGGUGACACAACUGCAGAUUCUCCAGACGCUUCUUUAGGCUUGCUCCCCUGGCCAUAUCCAAAGGGGCAUUUAGGUGACACAAUUGCAGAUUCACCAGACCCUUGCUUAGGCUUGCUCUCCUGACUAUCCGGCUGUUUAUUUUGGUUUUCACUAGGCUUCUUAAUAGAAGUGUCAUCAGGUCUGGAAGCUCUAACAAAAGGGCAAACAGGUUUCAUAUUGAUGG
rnacentral:lncRNA from 1 species